rnacentral:lncRNA from 1 species
UUUUUUUUUUGUAUUUUCUCUAAUAAAAACACCAUUCAAUCAUGAAUAAAAAUAAAGUUACUUUCAAAUAGAUAAAUAAAUAUAAUAAUUUUGAGAUAUACGACAAAACCAUGAAGGCCAUGUCACGACCCAAAUCAAGCCGCGAGUGGCACCCACACUUAUCCUACUAUGUGAGCGAACCAACCAAUCUGAACCCCAACAUUUCAAACAUAAAUAACAUAGUAUAAUGCGGAAGACUUAAACUCAUUAAUGAAAAUCAAUAAUCAACUUCUAAAACUCAAACUUAUCAUUAUCCCCAAAAUCUGGAAGUCAUCAUCACAAGAACAUCUAUCCUCAAAUUACUAAAGCUAAGAGUAUCUAAGAAACUAAACAUAAAUAAUAGCUAGUCUAUGCCAGAACUUCAAGGCAUCAAGACAUGAAGAAGAAGAUCCAGUCCAAGCUAAAAGCUUUAGCUCACCCUGAAAUCUGGUGUGAUGAAGACUGGCUAGAGUUGCGGUUGGGUUGAAGACGACGGUACGUUUGCUGCACUCCACAAUGAACAAAAAGAAAACAUAUAAGUAGGGGUCAGUACAAAACACGAGUACUGAGUAGAUAUCAUCGGCCAACUCAAAAUAGAAAACAGUAUAUAUCAGAUAAUAUCGUAAAAUCAACUACAAUACUCAACAUGCGGCAUUUACAAUUACCAUAAUCUUUGGUCACAACACCAAGCACAUCAAUGAGGACUCACGCCUCCCCAUCAUACUCAUUUGGGAAAAUAGGUUCAUUAAAUCUGAGUAUAUUACCAAAAUUCAAGAUUCACUCUCUUUAUUCCUCUUGUGUCGGAACGUGACACUCCGAUCCCCUAAUACUACGUGUCGGUUCGUGACACCCAAUCCCCCUAAUACUACGUGUCGGUUCGUGACACCCGAUCCCCCUAAUACUACGUGUCGGUUCGUGACACCCGAUCUCCCUAUUACUACGUGUCGGUUCGUGACACCCGAUCCCCCUAAUACUACGUGUCAGUUCGUGACACCCGAUCCCCCUAUUACUACGUGUCGGUUCGUGACACCCGAUCCCCUAACCUCAUUCUUUUAGUUUAUCAAGUCUUCUCUUAUACCAAGGCAUCAUCAUUAACAAGAGGUUUUCAAGAUUUAGGAUUCAAUAGCUUUAUCAUGCUUAUUUCAUCACAAUUAUAUCAUCACAUCAUGCAAACACACAAUUAAGCAUAUAGAAGGAUUUACAAUACUACCCAAUACAUAUCAUUCGCUAUUAAGAGUUUACUACGAAUAGCAUAAAAACCAUAACCUACGUCCACCGAAGAAUUGUGAUCAAGCAAGCUAAUCCUCAAAAUCAUUGCUUUCUUUUUCGUUCCUCUCUCUCUCGAUCGUUUCUCCCUCUUCUCUCUAUUCUUUCUAUUUUUCUUAUUCCAACCCUUUUUAUUUUACCCUAAUUAGCAUAUAAUUAAGUAUAAAAGAUGACAAAAGUAACCCACUAAUUAAUUUAAAGUUAUCUCCUUUAACCCUCAAGUAGUUAAAUUAUUAACAUUAACCCACUAAAUUUAUAAUUAUAGCAGAAAUAGUAAAAAACGCCCCUUAAAACAUUUAACAGAAAUCCGACCCAGCCUGGGAUUAUGCAGCCUGUGACGGCCCGUCGUGCCUGCGACGGUCCGUCCUGCUGCUUCCGUCACAAGGUUCAUAGACUCGAUUUAUUAAAGAGUCUGUGACGGCCCGUCAUGCCUGUGACGGUCCGUCCUGCCACUUCGUCACGAAGUUCAGAGAGUCGAUUUCAGUACCCAAAUUUCAGAAUCCUAAGUGUUUUGGAACGAGACCCCCUCGACGGUCCGUCGUGCCCCUGACGGUCCGUCGUUGGAUCCGUCGUCUUAGCCAGUUUUUCCAGAAAUAAAAUCUGCUGCUCAAAACGACUAAACAGGUCGUUACAAUAAAUACCAAUUUACCCAUCGUUCGUCCCCGAACAAUCACAAGAAGAAAAACAAGGGCGAAAAGGAGUACCUGAAUCUGUAAACAGGUGUGGGUAUCUUUCUAGCAUAUUAGCCUCAUUCUCCCAAGUGGAUUCUUCAACUGGUCGAUUCUUCCAUUGGACUUUGAUGGAUGCAAUCUCCCUUGACCUCAACUUGCGAACUUCUCUAUCUAAAAUAGCAACAGGCUCCUCCUCAUAAGACAAAUUCUCAUCAAGCAAAACUGAAUCCCAACGAAUAAUAUAGUUUUCAUCCCCAUGGUAUCUUUUCAACAUAGACACAUGGAAUACCGGAUGCACUCCUGACAGUCCUGGAGGCAAGGUAAUUCAUAAGCCACCUCCCCCACGCGCUUCAGAACUUCAAAUGGACCAAUAUACCUCGAGCUAAGCUUACCUCUUUUACCAAACCGCAUCACUCCUUUCAUGGGCGAAACCUUCAGCAAGACUUGUUCACCCUCCAUAAACUUCAAAUCUCUAACCUUUCGAUCUGCAUAUUCUUUCUGCCUACUUUGAGCCACUAAAAGCUUUUCUUGAAUGCAUUUCACUUUAUCUAACGAUUUCCUCAGAAGGUCAGUACCCCAAGGUCUAACCUCAAAUGCAUCAAACCACCCAAUGGGAGACCUACAUCUUCUCCCAUACAGUGCCUCAAAUGGGGCCAUAUCAAUACUUGAGUGAUAGCUAUUGUUGUAUGAGAACUCUGCUAAGGGUAAGAAGUUAUCCCAAUGACCACCAAACUCUAUCACACAUGCACGAAGCAUAUCCUCCAAAACCUGAAUCGUUCGCUCAGACUGACCAUCGGUCUGAGGGUGAAAUGCGGUACUAAGAUCCAACCUAGUACCCAAUUCCGCAUGCAAUGUUUUCCAAAAUUUAGAAGUAAACUGCAUACCUCUAUCUGAUAUGAUGGAGAGUGGAACCCCAUGUAAUCUAACAAUUUCUGAGAUGUACAGUUUGGCUAACUUCUCUACAUUGUAAGUCACCUUGACCGGAAUGAAAUGAGCAGACUUAGUUAACCUAUCGACAAUCACCCAAAUAGAGUCAUACUUACCCAUUGUCUUUGGAAGACCAACCACGAAGUCCAUUGCGAUUCUCUCCCACUUCCAUUCCGGAAUGGGCAUUCUCUGAAGUGUUCCUCUAGGCCUCUGGUGUUCAUACUUUACUUGCUGACAAUUCGGACAUUUGGCAACAAACUCCACAAUGUCACGCUUCAUUCUACUCCACCAAAAAUGUUGCUUUAGGUCACGAUACAUCUUGGUUGCACCCGGAUGUAUAGAAUACCUUGAACUAUGAGCCUCUGUAAGAAUAGUGUGGAUCAAAUCAUCAACACGGGGCACACAUACCCUUCCCUUAAUUCUCAAAACACCUUCCUCAUCCAUUAUUGCUUCUUUAGCCUCUCCACGCAAUACCUUAUCUCUAAUCCGAAUCAAUUUCUCAUCGGUAAACUGCUUUCCUUUAAUCUGGUCAAGAAAGGAAGAUCUUGCCUCCACACAGGCCAAAAACCCUCCCUUCUCAUUUACUUCUAGCCUCAUGAGGUCAUUAGCCAGAGUCUGAACUUCUCUAGCCAAUGGGCGUCUAGAAACCUGCAAGUGAGCUAGACUUCCCAUGCUCCCUGCCUUUCUACUUAAAGCAUCUGCCACAACAUUAGCUUUUCCCGGAUGAUACAAGAUAGUGAUGUCAUAAUCCUUCAGUAGUUCCAUCCACCUUCUCUGUCUUAAAUUCAAAUCUUUCUGAGUAAAGACAUACUGUAGGCUACGAUGAUCCAUGUAGACUUCACACUUAACCCCAUAUAAAUAAUGUCUCCAUUGCUUUAAUGCAAACACUACCGCAGCCAAUUCCAAAUCAUGGGUCGGGUAAUUGCGUUCGUGGUUCGUGCACCUUUAAUUGCCUUGAAGCAUAAGCAAUUACAUUCUUCUCUUGCAUUAGCACUGCACCCAAACCCGAAUAGGAUGCAUCACAAUAGACAAUGAAAUUCUUACCUUCCACUGGCAAGGUGAGAAUGGGUGCAGUAGUCAACAAAGUCUUGAGCUUCUGAAAGCUUUCUUCGCACUCGUUCGACCAUACGAAUGGAACAUUCUGUUUAGUCAAGCUUUUCAAUUGGGAAGCAAUAGAAGAGAACCCCUUGACAAAUCGGCGGUAGUAGCUAGCUAAAUCAAUAAAGCUCCUUACUUCUGACACAUUAGUAGGUCUUACCCAAUUCCUCACUGUUUCAAUCUUAGAUGGAUCCACCAUCACUCCAUCCUUAGAAACUACGUGCCCUAAGAAGGACACUGAAUCUAGCCAAAACUCACACUUAGAGAAUUUGGCAUAAAGCUUUCUCUCCCUCGACAUUUCCAACACAAUUCUCAAGUGCUCCUCAUGUUCUUUCUUGCUCUUUGAGUAUACCAGUAUAUCAUCAAUGAAUACAAUGACAAAGAGAUCCAGAUAUGGCUUAAAAAUCCCAUUCAUCAAGCUCAUGAAAGCAGCAGGGGCAUUCGUAAGCCCAAAAGACAUUACUAAGAACUCAUAAUGCCCAUACCUGGUCCGAAAAGCAGUCUGGGGCACAUCUGCUGCCCGUAUUUUCAAUUGAUGAUAACCAGAUCUCAAGUCGAUUUUUGAGAAGGUACAAGCGCCUUGUAACUGAUCGAACAAAUCAUCAAUGCGAGGAGGAGGAUACUUGUUCUUAACCGUUACCUUAUUCAGUUGUCUGUAGUCUAUGCACAUCCGAAAGCUUCCAUCCUUCUUCUUCAAAAACAAAACAGGAGCACCCCAAGGGGAUGCACUUGGUAUAAUGAAGCCUUUGCUCAACAACUCUUGAAGUUGGGCCUUUAACUCCCUUAACUCAGCGGGAUCCAUUAUAUAAGGGGGUAUAGAAAUGGGGCGAGUACCCGGUUCAAGAUCGAUGCAGAAGUCAAUAUCUCUAUCCGGUGGCAUACCAGGAAGGUCUGCAGGAAACACAUCUAAAAACUCGCGGACUAUCAAAACCGACUCAAUUGAAGGUACUUGGGUGGUAUCAUCCCUGAGGUGUGCCAAGAAAGCUAAACAACCCUUACUAACCAUUCUCUUAGCACGAAGAAAGGAGACGAUACGAACCGGAUUGGAAGUGUAGUCACCCUCCCACACUAACGGAUCUGUCCCAGGCUUGGCCAACGUUACAGUUUUAGCAUUACAAUCUAAGAUUGCAAAAUUUGGAGAAAGCCAAGUCAUACCAAGAAUUACAUCGAAAUCAACCAUUCUAAGAUAACCAAGUCUACAUGAGUAUUUCUCUCCAUAAAAGUCACAGGACAAGACCUAUACACCUUUUCAACUAUCACAGACUCACCCACCGGAGUAGAAACACGAAUAGGCAUGUCAAGCAAUUCACAAUGUAAAUUAAGACCAGUAGCAAAUGAGGAAGAUACAUAUGAAAAUGUGGAUCCAGGAUCAAAUAAUACAAAAGCCAUGCAAUCACAAACCAAAAGAUUACCUGUGAUGACAGCAUCAGAUGUCUCUGCUUCAGAUCUCCCAGGGAAAGCAUAACAAUGGGCCCUAUCACCUGCCUGUCCGUUGCCCCUACCAUGUUGCGCUGUAGUGGCUCCAGUUUGCCCGUUACCCCGGCCGUUGUGGUGACCACCAUUACCUCGGCCACCACGUCCUCCCGAAUAACGGCCUCUUCCAUGACCACCUCUACCUCUGCUUAUUGGGGGUCUGUAACUCGGUUUUGGAUAAUUUCUCCUAAUAUGUCCAGUCUCUCCACAUCCAUAACAUUCUCUGGAUUCAAGCAUAGAUCCCUGUGAGAAUGACGAAGUCUGGGGAUAACCACCAAACUCAGAGAAAUGUUGGCCGGUCUGCGGUGGACCCCCAACUACAGUCUGUAGUGAAGACUGGAUAGGUCGGGCUGGGUAACCUCCUGAACCCUGCCCUCUGGAGUAAGAACCAUUAAACUCACCUCCCUUACGAAACCUUUUAGAUGUCAAUGCCAAGGUGAAGUCAUCUGGCUUACUCCCUCCACCUCUAUCACGAAGUCUACCACUUCCUGAAAGGAUUUCGCUGUAGCCGCUACCUGUAAGGCUGAAAUCCGCAAAUCUGACCUCAACCCCUUCACAAAACGGUGAAUCCGCUCUUGUGGACUGAAACAAAGCUGGGUGGCAUAUUUGGAGAGUGCACGAAACUUAGACUCAUAGGCAGAAACCGACAUCCUGCCUUGCUCUAGGCUUAGAAACUCAUCUCUCCUCCUAUGACUCAAAGUACGGGGUAUAUACUUCUCCAUAAACAAGCUAGAGAAUGAUGCCCAAGUCAUAGGUGGUGCCUCUGUUGGUUGACACUCAACAUGUGACCGCCACCACAUUUUGGCGUUCCCUUGAAACUAAUAAGUCACAAACUCAACGCCAAAUCGUUCUACUAUACCCAUCUUGUGUAGUAGCUCAUGACAAUCAACUAGAAAAUCAUAGGCAUCCUCAGAUUCAGCACCCUUGAAGACUGGGGGUUUCAAUUUCAAGAACUUACUGAAAAGUUCAUGCUGAUCAUUUGUCAUUAUAGGCCCUGUAGUCAACCGAGGAAACGUGCCUAUUCCCAAUGAGGCAUCCAUGCGGGGAGCCACAGUAGCUGCAUGUUGUACCUCCGGAACCUGAGGUGCUUGUGCAGAAAACACUGGAGGGGUCUGGCCCUGAUCAGAUAACCCGCUAAGAUAAGCAAGAACUUGAUUAAUCAUCUCUGGGGUAGGUUGGGGUAGUAAUUCCUCAUUCUGCACUUGCUCAUUUUCCCCUUCCUCACCCUCUCUUAACACUUCCUCAGUCGGUGGAGGAGUCACCGCCCUAGUACCAGAUGGGCCAGGUGCUUGUCCUCUUCCUCUGGAGGACGUCCUCCCACGACCUCUAUCGCGGCCUCUUGCCACUGCUCCUCUUCGAGUUACAGUCUCAGUGGCUGGCUCAGACGCAUCUUGUCUUGCCGGUGUUGGUGUUGGCGCGGUUGUUGCUCUAGUUCUAACCAUCUGCGAAAUAGAGUGAAGAUGGUCAGAUACCAAUUUGUAUCACCUAGAUACCAAUUGGACCCAAGUAAUAGCACGAAAGAAAGAAUGAAGGAAUGGAAUUUUCCUAAAGUCUUGUAGCCUCUCAAAGAAAAGUAAAGGCGUCCCCCUACCGUUCCUCAAGACUCUACUAGACUCGUUCUUGUGUGAUGAGACCAACGAACCUAAUGCUCUAAUACCAAGUUUGUCACGACCCAAAUCGAGCCGCGAAUGGCACCCACACUUAUCCUACUAUGUGAGCGAACCAACCAAUCUGAACCCCAACAUUUCAAACAUAAAUAACAUAGUAUAAUGCGGAAGACUUAAACUCAUUAAUGAAAAUCAAUAAUCAACUUCUAAAACUCAAACUUAUCAUUAUCCCCAAAAUCUGGAAGUCAUCAUCACAAGAACAUCUAUCCUCAAAUUACUAAAGCUAAGAGUAUCUAAGAAACUAAACAUAAAUAAUAGCUAGUCUAUGCCAGAAUUUCAAGGCAUCAAGACAUGAAGAAGAAGAUCCAGUCCAAGCUAAAAGCUUUAGCUCACCCUGAAAUUUGGUGUGAUGAAGACUGGCUAGAGUUGCGGUUGGGUUGAAGACGACGGUACGUUUGCUGCACUCCACAAUGAACAAAAAGAAAACAUAUAAGUAGGGGUCAGUACAAAACACGAGUACUGAGUAGAUAUCAUCGGCCAACUCAAAAUAGAAAACAGUAUAUAUCAGAUAAUAUCGUAAAAUCAACUACAAUACUCAACAUGCGGCAUUUACAAUUACCAUAAUCUUUGGUCACAAUACCAAGCACAUCAAUGAGGACUCACGCCUUCCCAUCAUACUCAUUUGGGAAAAUAGUUCAUUAAAUCUGAGUAUAUUACCAAAAUUCAAGAUUCACUCUCUUUAUUCCUCUUGUGUCGGAACGUGACACUCCGAUCUCCUAAUACUACGUGUCGGUUCGUGACACCCGAUCCCCCUAAUACUACGUGUCGGUUCGUGACACCCGAUCCCCCUAUUACUACGUGUCGGUUCGUGACACCCGAUCCCCCUAAUACUACGUGUCGGUUCGUGACACCCGAUCCCCCUAUUACUACGUGUCGGUUCGUGACACCCGAUCCCCUAACCUCAUUCUUUUAGUUCAUCAAUCCUUCUCUUAUACCAAGGAAUCAUCAUUAACAAGAGGUUUUCAAGAUUUAGGAUUCAAUAGCUUCAUCAUGCUUAUUUCAUCACAAUAAUAUCAUCACAUCAUGCAAACAAACAAUUAAGCAUAUAGAAGGGUUUACAAUACUACCCAAUACAUAUCAUUCACUAUUAAGAGUUACUGCGAAUAGCAUAAAAACCAUAACCUACCUCCACCGAAGAAUUGUGAUCAAGCAAGCUAAUCCUCAAAAUCUUUGCUUUCUUCUUCGUUCCUCUCUCUCUCGAUCGUUUCUCCCUCUUCUCUCUAUUCUUUCUAUUUUUCUUAUUCCAACCCUUUUUCUUUUACCCUAAUUAGCAUAUAAUUAAGUAUAAAAGAUGACAAAAGUAACCCACUAAUUAAUUUAAAGUUAUCUCCUUUAACCCUCAAGUAGUUAAAUUAUUAACAUUAACCCACUAAAUUUAUAAUUAUAGCAGGAAUAGUCCAAAACGCCCCUUAAAACAUUUAACAGAAAUCCGACCCAGCCUGGGAUUACGCAGCCUGUGACGGCCCGUCGUGCCUGCGACGGUCCGUCCUGCUGCUUCCGUCACAAGGUUCAGAGACUCGAUUUAUUAAAGAGUCUGUGACGGCCCGUCAUGCCUGUGACGGUCCGUCCUGCCACUUCGUCACGAAGUUCAGAGAGUCGAUUUUAGUACCCAAAUUUCAGAAUUCUAAGUGUUUUGGAACGAGACCCCCUCGACGGUCCGUCGUGCCCAUGACGGUCCGUCGUGGGAUCCGUCGUCUCAGCCAGUUUUUCCAGAAAUAAAAUCUGCUGCUCAAAACGACUAAACAGGUCGUUACAGGCCAAUGAUAAGUAAAAAAAUAAAAUUUCGUAACGUAUUUAUAAAAUAAAUGUUACGUAAUAUAUAAUUACUACUUUUUAUAAUUUGAUGUCUCAGAUUAACGGAUAUUUAAGUAAUUAUUAACUCCUAAAUUAGUGAAAUUUCUGUAAUGAUAUAUCCCUUCAUUCAUUUUAUCUUCUUGUUUUUAUUUAUCAGAAUAAUUAAUAAUGGUUAUGUUGUUAAUUACAAGUACUUAAUAUAUUUCAAUAAGAGAAAAGACAUAAACUCACCAUUAAAGUUGUUUCGAUUUUUUCAAAAAAAUAUCUUAACUUUGUGGGUGUCCUAUUUCCCCUUUGAACAAUUUAAAAGUGUUAUAAAUAUCUCACUUCUCAUCCAACCUUAGUUGCAAGAAAAGAAGUGCAAUCAUGCACCAAUUAUUAUUUGAUAAGUAUUAAAUUCUUUUUAUUUUUAAUUUUUAGUUUCAUUUUCAUUAAUUUUAUAUACAUUUUUAUUCCUCUUUCUUCUUCAACCUUCAUUACUCCUCUUUGCUGUAAAUCCUCCAAAAAUAGCGGUCAUUGUCGCUUUCAACAUAGCCUCUAUGAUGUUUCCCUCUUACAACAAUAUUUCCGCCACUAGAUCAUCACUAAAAAAAUCAACUCAACUCUCAAGUUACUAAAGCAAGUUACUGGAGUUCUAUAUUGAGACCAAAAAUAAGAAAAAAAAUGGAGUUUCUUACUACUCACUAAUCAAUCUAUUAAUGGAAUUCAAAUUUGUUUUUUGUUUUUUUAAAAAAAAGGACUAAAGAAGAAAAAAAAACAAAGAAAAGCAAUAGACAAGAAAAUAAGUGACAAAAAUGGAUGAAGUAAAUUGAUCUUCUAAGUUAAAGAAGAUGAAGAAAAGUUAAUUGAGUUUUUGAAUUUGUGUGAAGAAGAUAAAGGAAAUGAAUGAAUUCGUCAAAGAGAGAGCACCAAUGUUGAGCUUGCUUUGAAAAAAAAAGUUGAUAUCAAUUUUAGGGCUAUCUAUGGCUCUUUUCUCUUUAAUUUUGGGAAAAAUUAUGUAAAUUAAUUCAAUAAUUAUUGGGAAAAGGCUCAAAUAUGCCAUCAAACUUUCAGAAUAGUCUCAUUUAUGUCAUCAGUUAAAAGUUUGGCUCAUUUAUGCCAUUGUUGUUAAAGAAAAGACUCAUUCAUACCAUUAUUUUCUAAGUGUGAUUUCGCAAAUCAUUUUUGACUCGUGUCCAAUUAUAAUUCGUCCACGUCAUCAAUUUUUUUAAUCAAUUUUUUUUUCAAAUUUUAUUUAGAAUUUGAUUUUUUUGUUAAAAAAAAUUGAUGACUUAGCCAAUUAUAAUUAAACCACAUCAUCAAUUUAUCUAAUAAAAAUUAAUUCAAUUUUUUUCUCAGAAUUAUGAUUUUUUAUUAAAAAAAAUUGAUGACGUGACCGAAUUAUAAUUGAUCUCGUGUCAAAAAUGGUUUUGCAAAACCACCAUUAAAAAAUAAUGGCAUGAAUUAGCCUUUUCUUUAACGAUAAUGAUAUAAAUGAGUCAAACUUAUAACUGAUGACAUAAAUAAGUCUUUUCUGAAAGUUUGAUGGCAUAUUUGAGUUUUUUCCAUAAUUAAUUAAAAAAUAAAACGACACCAUCACUUUACAAUUGGUUAAUGACAAUGAAAACAUUGCCUCACGCGCCUCAUGUGAGUAGUACUCAAACGAUGAAAUAAGUCAAAAUGAUUCAUUUACAAAGAUAUUAAAUUGUUUCAUAAAUUGAUAGAACAUUUUCAAAAUUAAAAUAUUUUUAUAGAGAGAUAAUUUUAAUGAUGUCUUUAUGAUCUUUUCUUAUUUUAAUAAUUAAAACUCGCACAACUCAUCUAUAUUAUUUGGGUCAUUUUCUUUUGAUGUUAUUUUCAUUGUACGAAAUGUACUUUCAUGAACUGGCACAAAUUGAUGUAUCCACAAAACUCUACAAAAAAAAUAAAACAAAUCUAGUUAUAUAUUUGUAUAUUAUUAGUACUUCUUGUUUUCAAGCCACUAAUAUAUGCUGCCAUUUAAUUAUGUCAAAUCAUUCAAAAAUUAUUUGUUGAUUUGUCCUUUACUACUUUUACCAGACCCAAAUUUGAAAAUUAUUAGUUCUUGAUUAAUCAAAUCAAUUUUUAUGAGAUUGAUUUCUCACGUAAUCACUAAACUAAUUAAUAAUAUAUAUUAGUUAUAUUAUUAUAAUUUUGGUUUUUCUUUUUUAUCUUGGUUUAUUAUUGUUUGUUAAUAAUAGAAAAUAUGUACAAAUAUUCUCAGAUUAUGAUUGAAAUCUUAAAAACACACAUUAACUAAAUUAAGGUCUUAUUAUAUUCUUGAAUUAUUUUUUUGUUAUGUUGUGCACCUUUUUGGCUUACAGGACAUCCAAAUAUCUCUCACACGCUUCAAUUGCAUGGAAUUACGGAGUCUGUCACGUAAGACAAAAAGUAUUUAAUUUAAUAAAAUAUUGAUUCAGGUGGUAAUAGAAAAUUAGUUUACUUAAAGUGUAUUUUGAGAUUUCGCUCAUAGACUAGGAGGGUACUUGUGUAUUUUUCCUUAAAAAUAAUAUGUCAUAGUAUAUUGUUUAUGACAUUUCGAUUACCACAUGAUUUCAUGUCAUGAUACAAAACAAGUCAUGAGUGACACCCAUACUUAACCUUCUAGGUGGGCAAAUCAACGAAUUCAAAUUUUAGCUUAUACUAAUUGUUCAACUAACAUAAUACAACUAUAAUACGAAAACUUAAAACUUAUAAAUGUAAGAUACAAAGAUCCACUAUAGUCUACUAAAUAUCAUUUUCAAAAUCUGAAAGUCAUCAUAUCAAGAUACAUUUAAUCCUCAAAUACUAAGUCUAAAGUAUAAAAAAAAAAUCAUAAUAAAGUAAUUUGUGUUCGGAAACUUAGGAUAUCAUGCCGAGAGAAUCCAACACGAGCUAGCUAGAAGGAUGAAUAACACACUUGUUGCACUCCACAAAAUGAAAAAGAAGAAAUAUAUCAGUAGGGGUUUGUACAAGGUAAUAUGUACUGAGUUAAAUAUCAUUGGUCAAUUCAAAAUAGAAACUAGUAUGAAUAAAAUAAUAACAAGAAUCAACUACAACACCUAACAAAUGGCAGAUAACAAAAAACAUGAACGAGUGACAACUGACAACAAUAAUGAAGCAAGUAUGUAAUUAGUCACUAUAUCACGACACACACGUGGACUCAUGCCUCCACAUCACACUCUUUUGGGAAAUGAGUUCUUUGAGGUUGAGUACAUUAAGUUAUUUUAAUAUAUUUUCCCUUAAUGUUAAUGUGCCGCAACGUGACACCCGAUUUAAUAAUAUCGUAUUAGCUCGUGCCGCCUCAUCCAAGUAUAUUAUGUCGGCUCGUAACACUCAAAUCCAACAAUAUAGUUAACUCAUCAUUAUUUAUUAUCUCAUUUCACUUUCUUAAUAAUAUUUCAUCAAACUUUUUUUAUUUAACGCAUCACUUUAAUAAAAUAAGUUCAAAAUUAUAAUUUAAUAACAAAAUAAUAAUAUUAAAAAUUGAAGCUACUAGUUAAAAAUCAACGACAAUGACCAUGAACCCAAUUCAAUUGAUUCUACCCUAUUUUAUUAAAUAUAACAUUCAACUAAUAUUUGUCUCAAUCACUUAGUAAGCAUUAGCAUGUCAUUCUACAAUAAUGGAAGACAAAGUUUGUCUCCACCAAAAUCAACUAGUAACAACGCUAUGAUCCUAAAACUUGCACCUUUCAAUUAUAAUAAUAAUUUACUUGAAUCCUGAAGACUCUUUCACUUAAGAAAUUUUAUAGGGUAUGUUAUAAUUGCAUAAAAUUUUAUUUUUUUAUUGAAGGAAAUUAGGAUCGAGAGGUAACUUUGUAACAUAGUAAUUAUUAGGUGAACAAUCAUUUGAAAAAGAAAAAAAAAGUAAAAGUAAUUAAUUGUAUAUUUUAUUAUUUAUAAAAGAGACGAUCUAUACAUAGAUUAGCCCCAAGUUUUCUAGCUAAAGUCAAAUCAAUGAUUUUCUUUUCGAAUUAAUAGAAUUUCUUUUUUUUUAGUUAGACUUCUAUAUAUCAAUGAAAUAAAAGCGGAAUCGAAGAAAUUUGUUUUUGUCACGACAAUCCAUCUUGUUUUGUACAGUGGAGUUCCUCAGCAAACUAAUUUUUUACCAAAAUUGUUCAUAUACAUACUCAAAGACACAAAUUCGAAGUUUUAUAAAGAAUUAUUUUGAUAUAAAUUACGUUAAAUUUUGUGCUCUUUCUUUUACGUUUUUGCUAACGUAACAUCUUAUCUCAAAAAAUUUAUUGGAACAUGGAAUCAAUGGAAAUGGAAAAAAAAGUUAUAUAUAUAAUCAAUCGAUACUCAAUUAAUAUUUCAUCAUCAAAGAGCAAUAAAAUCAAGACUUAGGACUCAUUUGAUCUCGAAAAUCAAUAAAAUCUUACUACCUCUUUAGAAAAGUUCGAGUUCUAAUUUAAGUGAUAAAAUCGAAAAAAAAUAAUACGUGUUUAAUGAGUUAUAAUUAUAACUGAAUCAGCAAUAAAUUUGAGUAUGAGAUUAAUGUAUCUUCUUGCCUAUAUUGUUAUUUUGUUGUUAUUGAUUGUUAUGUAUUAUGUUAUAGCGUUAUUUGUUAACAUAACAUAUUCAUUAUAAAAUAAUGAUAUAAAGUUAUGAGCAUGUUUAACGAUUUUUAGAACUUGUGAUAUAAAUCAUAUUCUUUGAAAUACUCAAAUACUUUUUUUAAAAUUUGGGUACAAAUACUUGGUGAAACUCCACCAAAAACUUCACUCAAAUAUGAUUUACAAAAAUAUUUAAAAAUUUGAGAUCAAACACUAACUUAAUAUGAUACUCGGACAAAAUGUCCCACUUUAACAAGCUGCAAACAAACACAACCUACAAAUAGGAGUAAAUUUCCUCUAUCGUCAUUUAAGUUUUACUAAAUAAGAAAAAUUGUAUAUAAUGACAACUAUUAAUUACAAUAAAAUAUUAUAAUUACACUUUGAUUUAAUUGUGUCCCGUAACAAAUUAUUUGUCAGUUGUUUCUCUCUCUCAAACUCUCGCUCGCUCGCUCUGUCGCUUGCCGCUCUCGCUUUAUACAGUCAGAAAUGUAUAAAUUGUGUUUCUGUAUGUAUAAAGCGAGAAUUGUAUAUACACAUGCAAAUACAUAUAUCUUCAUCCUAUACACUUAUAAUUAUACAAUAUAAAUAUUCCCCUACCCGGUUCUCUUUCUCUCUUUCUCGCUUUAUACAAAUUAUACAAAAUGCAAUGUAUAAUUUAUAUGUGUAGAGAGCGAUAUUUAAUAUACAAACAUUUUAUUCAAUUUAAUUGUGUACAAAUUCAAAUUUAAUACAGAUAUACAAACACAUAAAAUUGAAUUGAGAGUUCGUCAAUAAUUUAUAAACGAGAGGCUGCCAACAAUUUAUAUAAAUGGUCUUCAACGAAAUUAUACAAACUAUAGUUGUAGCAUACAAAUAUAAAUUGUGUAUUUGCUAUAUAUGAAAGUUACUCAAAGAAAUUAUACACUAAAAUAUCAUUUAUAUAUUUAUUAGGAUAACAAAAUUAUUCAACUAUUAUUAUUUAUUUCAAAAAUAAAAUGUUAUGAAGCGCAAUUAUACACAUUACAGUUGUAGCAUACAAAUAUAAAUUUUAUAUUUGUUAUUUAUGAAAGUUGCUCAAAGAAAUUAUACACUAAAAUAUCAUUUAUAUACUAAAAUAUCAUUUAUACAUUUAUUAGGAUAACAAAAUUAUUCAGCUAUUACAUUUAUUUCAAAAAUAGAAAAAUAACAAAAAUCUCAUUAUCUCCUAAUUAACAUGUCAUGUCAUACAAUGAUACAAAGAUGGGGAACUUCAAGGGGGUUCAUAGAUCAAACUAAUUGAUUUACAUAAAAUAAUAUAUAUACAUCAUAUCAUAAUUUAUCUACAUACUAAUCAUGUGAAAUUUGAAAUUGUCAAUCUUAAUAUGUUAGCAUUUUAUAUAUACAUUUUACUCAAAAAUUGCUACUCCCUCCGUCCAGUAAUGUUUGUCAUGGUUUCUAUUUUUAGAGUCAAACUUUUAAAAUUUUGACUAACAUUUUAAGAUGUAUUUUUUCAUCAUAUUAAUAUGCAAAAAAUUGUAAUUUAUAGUACUUUUUAUAUAGUUUUAGAAUAUCAAAUUCUUUUGUUUAAAAUAUCAAAUUAAUAUAAUCUAAUUUACCUUUGAAAAUUAAUCAAAUUGACUUUUCAUAAACGCAAUAUGACAAAUAAUUUUGGACGGAGGGGAUAUCAAAUUAAACAUGGUGCAAAUUAUGUGGAAACAACUCCUAACCAAUAACCAAAUGACACCUAAGCAAUUAUCAUGAAUAACUUACAACUUUAAUAGGCAUUGACUUUGUUAUACCUAAUUUUAAUGCUAGGUAAUUGCAUGAGUAUUAUCUAAGAUGAUAUGCACCAAUAACUACACUAGGCAUAAUCUUUUAAACACGUGUCUCCUUAGAAGAGAAUAUCUUUGGUCGAUUCAUUAACAACUUGAUUAACUUCUCGAUAAUAAUAAAAUUUGAGUAGUUAAACAACUUCAAUUUAUUGUAAUUAAGAUCAUGACUCUGAGAUGAAAUUGUGAUUGAGAUAAUUCAUUAAUUUGAAGUUAUUACUAGAGUUAGAAAUAACUCGAAAAGUAUACUCAUAUUCCUUCCAUCAAAGAACUUUAUAAAGCUAAACAAGAUAUUUCAGUGUACGUUGGCAAAUUAAUUAUUCAAAUUGCUACUCUAUCCAUUCAUUGGAAGAAAUCAGAAAAAUCAUGAAUGAUGUUUAGAAAUUACAUAAAAAAAGUUUUUUUAAAGAGGGGGAGAAAUUGUUGUCAGAUAAAAUUCGAAUAAGUGAGUACUGAUAUAUUUAAGGGGUCUGAAAUCACUAGGCUACAACAUGUUAUGUCAAGGGUGUCUAAAAUAUAUCAGUUCGUGUAUCAUGUUACUUAUAUAUACAGUAUUUUUCCCCACGAAGGGUGUCCAAUUGGACACCCUGACUUGCAUGUGCCUCUGCUCAUGUCUCCGUCCCAUAUUAGUUUAUCAUCCUACUAAAUGUUAUUGUAACGUAUUAGUUUUUCACCUUGGUAAAUCGAGAAAGUAUUAAUUAAAUUUUUCUAUAUUAUUUUUGCAAUUAAUUUAUUUUUAAAAAAGUGUUCACAUAUGUUUGUAAAAAUUUUAAAUUUUUUUGAAAUUAAAAUAGAAUUGAUAAAAUUAUCUUUUUAUUUAUAAUUUAUUUAUAUGCGUGUAAUAGAAAAAAUAAUCAACUAAUGUGAAACAAACGGAGUAGCACAAUAAUUGAUUGAGAAAAUGUGUACUAGUCGAAAAUAUAAACAAAAUAUAGGUCAAGAGUUGCAUUCUCACUUUAAUAAUUUACAUCACUUCAUUGGCUUUGGCAGCUAGAUAAGGUUCUAAUUAAUUAUUGCUAAAUGAAUUUAAGUUUGAUUAGGAUUAAUAACAUUUCGUAUGAUAUUUUGUUGAGCACAUUUAGUCUUUAAUUAUUUGAAAUGUGCAAUUUUUUUAAAAAAAAUAAAAUAAAAGCAAAGAUAAAAAUAAAAUCUAUUAGCAUGUGAAUAGUCACAAAUUUCCUACAAGAUUAACUAUUUUCACUGUUUAAUUAUCGAUGUAUUAUACUCCUAAUGUUACUCAUAUUUGAGGGUUAUAUAUACUUCGUACAAAUAAUCUAAUGUACUCCCUUUGUUUCUUUUUAUAUGUCUUUUAUUAUUGUAAAUAGUUGAUUAAUAAUACUUAUCAUUUCAUAAAAUCAAUAUAUUAAUUAUAAUAUGUUUUCUAUUAUAUCUUUGAUAGUUAAUUAGUCUUGAAAAUAAAUAUUUGAUCAACAUAGAAAAACUAAUAAUUAAUUAAUGUUCAUUAUAAUUACUUCAUGAGUUGAUCAAUUACUCUCACCAUUGCAUUACUCUAUAAAAUUUGAUUUUGAAAAAAAAUUCUCAACAAAUAAAUUAAAAAUAAAAGAUGGAUUUAUUAUUUUACUUAUCAUUUAUUUAAAAAAAAUUACUUUUAAAAACAUUAAAUAAUGAAAGAAUUGUAAACUUAUGUAGUUUCUUAACGCAAGUAAAUUCUAAAAAGGUGACAUAUAAAAAAGAAAAGGAAAAAGUACCAUGUUUCUUACAUAAAAAAUAUACAUUUUAAUUAGUUAAAGAAUACACUGAAAGUGAUGGUCAUAUAUCAUAAGUAUCAAAAUUGAAAUAUACUCAAGAUUUGAUACACCAAAAAUGUUACUUUUUCUGUCCUAAAUUAUGUGAUAUUUUUCGUUUUUUUAAGAGAAACAGUUUAAGUUUGAUCAGACAUUUUUGCAUGAAAUGUUUUAAAAAAAUUGAACAUUUAUAAACUACGUAAAAGUAUCAUAAGUCACAAUAAUUGAUAAUUCAAAAUAUUUAAAAAAUCUAUAAAAAAAAAAUUAUGAAAAAAUAGACAUAUUUGAAACUUAAAAUCUAUAAAGUAUCACAUAAAAUAGCACAGAUGGAAUAUUAUUUAAAUCACUUGCUUGAUUUAACAUUAGUAUCUAAUUUAACAUGACAUCAUAACGUACAUAUGUUUAUUGUUUUAGGAUCAAUAUCACAGCCCUCAUAUAAAUAAAAUAAAUCCUUUCGCAUAUUUGUGAAAAUUAAUUAGGAAAACCUAAGUUGUACUUGAACUUGUAUAUAUUGAACAAAUAAACACAUGAGUCCUACGUAAUAUAAUGCAUGUUGAAGAUUAUCAUGUAAGACUCGUUUGCCUAGUUUUUUAAUUUUAUACAAAUUGAAGUGUCUACUUCUACACGUUCAAAAUUAAAAGACGUAAAUGUCAAAUGAGACAAAGUUAAUAACACAUUUAUGUGCUUUACUUUUUACUUGAAUAGAUACAUAAAUCUCCUUCUCCUUCUUUUUCUCCUCCCUCUUCUCAUGCUUCUUCUUCUUCUUCUAAUGAUAUCUAUAUAUGUACAUAUACACUAAAUAUAAUAAAGCAUAUUUGAUCCUGAUUUAUUUGUAUAAGUGAAGAUUUGAUAGGAAAAAAGCUCUGAAAUAUAUAUAAAUUUUGAUCGAAACUAUUGUAACGAUACUAAACUUUGAAAAGGACAUUUUAUCCAUCUACACUAUUUAAUAGUGUAUAUAUGCCCAGAUAUAUUAACAUAUAUUUUUGCCUAGAUAUAUUCGUGACCCUUUGUAAAUGUCAUAACCGAUGACCUAUAGCUUUUAUUAUAAUAGCUAUAUAAUAACUAAAACACUAUAGAACAAAAUAUGAACGUCCAGGAAGAUGCAAAGUAUACAUCAAUUCACUCUCAUAAUCAAUCUAUAAUUGCAUAAAUAUAUUGGAUGCAUCAUUGCAUAUUUAAUAUUGAAUAUACUAAAUGAAACUAAUAUUGUAUACACCAGAUAAUAUUGAUAUUGAAUACAUCAAUGUAUAUUUGAUACUUGAAAUAUAGAUACAUAAAACUGUGAAACACAUAAAAGAAAGGAGAGGAACGAGAAAGAAAUAUUGUUAACCGAGAUACAUCUAAAUGCCUUGAAUAUAAUGUAAAUGAAGAUGAAUUUGAAUAGGAUAUAUCUAUGGAUUGAAUAAUUAACACCUAUAUAAGAAAUUUCUUAAAAACUGGUCAAAGUCAAUAAGUCAAAAAUCAUACUAAACGCAUAAUUAAUUAAAUUAACUAUGUCUAACUAUGAAGUAAGUAUAUGUAUAUUAAUUAAUCAUAAUUCAAUAUUGAAAGUUUAUGUGUACACAAAAGUUUUUAUUCAUUACAAAUUUUAAUAUAAAUAUUGAAUGGUGAUAAAUUUCUAUUUUCCCUAAUAUUUUACCUAUUCAAAUGGUUGAUAAAAGAAGCCAAUAACGUGACAUGAUAUCAAAACAAACUCAUUUUCUUUAUAGCUAUAAAGGUGAAAGUGACUAUUGGAGGUCCCCUAUCUUAGUACUAGAAUAUUGCAAGAGCAAGAGUGGUACUUUUGGGUUGAGCACCCAACAGAAUAUUGUACUAGGGGAUUGGGAUGAUUUAUGCAAAUAUUUCUUUUUAAGUUAUUAUUUAAUUUUUUAACAAAAAUAAAAUAAAUGGUGCUUUCAAUUUUUACCCCACAGUUUGUUGUUAGAUUCGAAUUUAAUAUUUGUCGUAUAUCAUAGAAAGUGAUCAAGCGUUAACAAUAAUUUAUAAACUUUAAAUCGUAAUCUAGCAUUUCUCCAUCAUUCUAUUUAAUUUUAAUCAAAAGAAAGAAAAGUGAUUUAACAUUUACAAAAUCUAAAAACUUUAAAUCAUAGUCUAGCAUUUCUCCAUCUUUUUUGUUUUAAAUUUUAAUCAAAAGAAACGUUUAGAUUGUGAUUUAAAAAGCCUUUUUUGAUAUCAUCUCAAGAUCAUGAUUUGUCAAUCAUCAUGAAUUAACUAAGUUUAUUCAUAUUUGAGGCUGAUAAUAUAAACUUGCAUAAGUAACAUUGAUCAAAAAAGACUUUUCGAUUAUAUAUUAUGGGAGCCCAAAAAGUUAGGUUUUGAUUUUAAAUGAGAUAUGGGCAUGAAAACUACAAUUAUAAGAAGAUGAGUUUCAUAGAUGUUAAGUACCUUUUCUUUGGUGUGUAGGGACAUGAAUUGAAUCUCCUAUUAUUAAGGUGAACAAGACAAACAUGUACAACAUAAUAGAUGCAUUACCCCUCCUCUCAACCAACAAAGGCAACAACUAUUCCAAGCCUCACAAGUUCACAAGUACUCAAAAUUUGUGGUUUUAGUCAUUACUUUUUCUAUUUUAAUUUAUGUGAUAUCGUCAGAGGUAUGAACUCAAUCAGUUACGCGAUUCAUCAAACUUCUUAAUUGAUAUUAACUAGGUGUAUGGACCAUUUAGACUUGGUUGAUCUCAAUUUGGAUGUAAACUAAAAUAAAUUACAUUUAUUCAAGCAAAGGAUUUCCGUAUGUAGUAAGGGCCCGUUUGGUAACUGUAUAAGAGACAUCUUAUUCAUGUAUAAAAAGUUACAUUAGUUUUAUUAUGUUUGGUAUAAGUUUUGCAUUAAGUAUAAAAAUCAACAUAAUUUAUAUCAUGUUUGAUUGCACUUUUCUAGUCCUAUAUAAUUAAUAUCAACAUAACUUAUGAGAGAAUCUAUGUAUAAAGUUAUGCAGGGUAGAAGGUGAAAUACGUUAUGUAGGUAUUAGUUAUACAUGUAUUAAAGUGAUAAAUUACAUAUUUACCCUAUUAAUUUAUUUUAUUGUUUUUAAUUGAAAACUCUAUUGUUUUCCUAUAUAUAUAUGUUUGUUGUUUUUAUUUCUUUUUUAUAUUUAAAUCAUUUUUAUUUAUUUUAAUUUAUUUGAUUUUUUAAAUUGAAAACUUUAUUGUUUCCUAUCAACAUGUAUUGUUUUUAUUUCUUAUUAUAUAUAGAUUAUUUUUAUUUCUUUUUAUACACUUACGAUUUUGAUUGAUUUAUACAAAUAUAAAUAUCUUUUUACUAUUAGAAAUUAAUUGUAUAUUUUUUAACGGUACAGUUGCUAAUCACAAUAUUAACAUUAUAUAUUAUUCAAUAUAUUUCACAUUUUAUUUAGCAUGUAUUAUUAUUUUGUAAAUAAUAUAUAUUAAUAAUUUAUAACAAGUUUAAUAUUUAAUAGUUAAUAAUUCAGAUAUAGUAAUCUCUACGUAACUAAAAAAUAUCUACAUAACUAAUAUUCAUAUAGCUAAUACCCGCAUAAUUAAAUCCAACAUAACCAAAUCCUGCAUAACUAAUCUUCACAUAGUUAAUACCUGCACAACUAAACUCUGCAUAAGUAAUACCUGUGUAACUAACUAAACCCUCCAUAGCUAAUACCUGCAUAACUCUAACCAGUAACUAACAAAACCCCUAAUUAAUUAAUAGUACAAGAAUAGUUCUACUAUUAAGAUGUAUAAUGUAACUAUGUGAGUAAUAGAUGUUAGUGUUCUAGUUAUAGUACAAAAUGUCAUUUGCAUUUACUUUGACUUUUUGAGCUUAGUUUUCAAAGGUGAACAUCGACUUGUUAUAGUAUAAUGGUAAUAGAUAUAAGUAAAUUUUGGAUAAUAAUUAUUUUGAUCCUUUUAUAAAGAAAUCUUGUUUAAUUUUGGAAAAAUAUUUAGUACGAUUCAUAUAUUAUUUAUACUUAGUAAAUAAUACAUUUGUUAUUAUAUUUUCUAAUUUCUCCAAUAAUCUAAGUUGCUCCAAACUACUUUUGAUACUGUCAAUAACGAUAGUAUUUCAAAAAAAAAAAAAGAUCAAAAUAAUAUAUUCUAAAAAAAAGGAAAAAAGAGAGUGAAAUUAAGGAAAUUAACAAUUUUGUUAUUCUAAGUUAGAAUUAAUUAGGGAAAGCAAAUCGAAGGACUAUUAAUUAAUUAAUUUUUCUUAGCAUGUGAUGCAUAUGUAUUCCAUCAACUAUUUAAAAUAUGUGGUAUUUUGGUUUUAUUUUAUUCUUAAAAUAAGUGAUAUUAUAGAUUUUUUUUUUGUGAAAAAAUUAUCUUUGUUUAUAUAAUCAAGAACUAUAAUUUUUUUUUUCUUUGAAUAGGGUAAAUUAAUAAAAAAAAAACUUUUGAUUUUUUAGAAAUGAAUAAUUUCUUAAGAGUUAUAUCCCGGUUUAAAAAGUUAAUUAUUUUGAAAUUGAGAAAAUUAUAUUUUAAAAUUUUAAUUUCUUAUAUAUAUAUAUAUAUAUAUAUAUAUAUAUAUAUAUAUAUAUAUGUAUAUAUAUAUAUAUAAUGAUUUCGAUAAAUGUAGAAACACAAGGACAAAAUCUUCUUGUCCAUUUCCCAUUAUACAAAGCGCACAUUCAAAAAAAAUUUAAAAAAUGAAUGACAGUACUAAUUAAUUAGUGCGUCAAUUUUUUGUUCUCUUGUAAAUAUUCUAUCGAUUCUUUUUUACUUACUAUAUUUAAAUUUGACAUAUUUAGUAAGAAAAUAUUAAUUGGUAAGUUUAUUUUAUCACAAUAUUUCUUUUAAUAGAAAUUGAGUAUUAAGUCUUAAAACUAAGACUAAAAUGUGGAGAAAAAUAAUUGUAUUUUUUUUAACUGGUAUAAAUUGACAAAUAAAAAUAAUUUUAUUUUAAAUGGUAAAGUAAAAAUGAAUCGUGGGGAGUAUCUUUUAUUGGUCAACUUACUGAAGUAUGAUUCUUUGCUGUUUUUUCUUUUUUUUUAGAAAAAACUAUAGAGAAAAUGAUUUCUUAUAUUUGAGGAUAGUUUUAAAAUUUAUCUUUAAAUUAUGUAUUGAAUAGUUCUGAUUUUUUUAGUUUGGUAAAAAAUAAUAUUUUUGACCUUUGUCAAAUAUUUAAAUAUGUUUGCUAGAUUAAAUUUAAUAAUAGGGAAAAAGAUUUACCAUAAAUAUCAUGAAAGACUUUCUACUUGCAUAAAAUAAAUGCACAUUAAAAGCUAAAAAUAUAUUUUUAAAAAUAAUAAAAAUUACGUCUCAAAGAAUAGCAUCGAAAAAUCAUUUACUUUCUAAAAAUAAAUAAUUUCUUAAGAGUUAUAUCCGGACUGAUCAAUACCAUUUAUUUUAAACUUAAAAAAAAUCUAUUUUUUAAUUUUAAUUUUAAUUUCUUAAAACUUAUCAAUAUAUUUAUUCGAAAAACUCGAAUUGAUUUCGACAAAUGUAAAACACAAGGACAAAAGCUUCUUGUCCAUUUCCCAUUAUUCCAAAAGCGCAGUUUUUUUAAAAAAAAAUAAUUAAAUUCAAUAACAGUACAUAUUAAUUGGAAAAACAGUACUAUUAAAUUAUUAUGGAGUACGAUUUGUUUUUUUAAUUUCUUUUAACAAUAGAGAAACUGGUUUCUUAUAUUUUUCGAUAAAAUUAAAAUAAUCAUUUAAUUAUUUAUUGAGUAGUUCUAAUUUUUUAAUUUGAUAAAAACCAAUAUUCUUAAUGUCGGUCAGACUCAGAUAUUUAAACAGGUUUGCUAGAUUUGAAUGGGAAUUAUUUUUUUUAUCAUGAAAGGGUAUCCAAUCAAAAUAAUUAUGCAACCUAAUAAAACAUUACAUGCUAAAAAUAUAUUUUAAAAUAUAGGGAAAAUUACAUGUCAAAAUGUUGCAUCAAAAUUUAGAAAUAAGUCAAAUAUAUCAAACACCACAAAAAUUGUAGAAAAAAUCAAGAGUUAUUGUCAAAAUUCAUAGAUAAAGAUUUAUAAGUCUUUUACUAUCUAUUUUUAACUAACUCUGUAUUAACUCCGAUUAAAAAAUUAUUUGUCUUUUAGAUAACUUUGCUAUAUGUGAUUUUAGAUUUAUCUCAUUCUGUUUUUUUUUUCAAAGGCUUUAUUCACCAUAGUUUCACAUUUACAAAACGAUAUAGAAUUAAUAUGGCUAAACUAUUUCAAAUGACCUUUAGAUUUUACUCUCAAUGUAUGUUGCUUACAUCUUGUAGAUAUGAUAUCCUUUCAUUGUAUCUAAUCCUAUAUAAUUAUAUAUUCGAUUGUCAUGAAUGUUGCCCUCGAGGACAUGUACAAGAAGGUCUUUUUUGAUUCCUAUCAACAUGGUGCAUCUCUUAGUAGAUAGGCGGAGACUUUGAUCGUAGAAAUUAAUUAAUAGACAUUUUUCUUAAUAAAGAGAAUGCAGGAUGAAUGCUUUUUUCAUUCGCUUCAAUAAUCAUCUUCUGAAUAUGUUGAUAACUUACUCAUCAAUCACUACUAUAUAAAAUUUUCGAUCUUAUAUUUAUUUUUUAGAAUUACCUCUCACUUUAAUAAACGUCCUUCUCUCGUGUAGCAUUUCGAUAUCGAUCACUUCUCCAUUUAAAUAAUAAUAAAUCUAGAUAUUUUAAAAUAAAAAUAAAAAUUGACACCACAAUCUCAUCUAGUCAAACUAAUAUUAACAAAGCUUGGGAAUUUCUUUUAUUUGUCUUUUUUUUCAAAGGAUUUUGUUACUUGAAUUAGGGCAAGUUGUGAAGAAAUGCAGGAAUUUGCACAACUUGAAGAAGACAUAUUAACAAAGCCUAGCAUUUUAUUUUAGUUUUCCUUGAAAAGAGGGGAAGGCAAGGAGAAUGACCUUAUGAUAAUCAAAUAAUUUUGCACCCAUAUAACAUAUACUAUAAGAGAGUAGUUUAAUUAAUUGAAAUAUCACUCAAUUUUCAAGGUAUGUCAUUGCUAACUACAAUAAAUUAGUCCACAAUAAAGUUUUGACCUAGUAGUCAAUGAAGGCACGGUUGAAAAAUCUGAUGUCUCGUGUUCAAAAUUCAAUGGAGGUACAUUGGGUGAUUCUUUCCAUGCCUUAAUGGACAGAGUUAUUUGGUACAUGUUAUUGAUGGGAGGUGACUAUAAAUAUCACCUAACACGGACAAACCAUCGGUCUUCAAAAAUAAAUUUCUUAAAAAAAGAAACAAAAGUUAACUAUAUACCGAAAAAUGUCACUCUCUCAUUCUCAAAUAAUUAUUUGUUGUGAUUUUCUUUUAUAUUCCCUCUGAGAAAUAUUCUAUCCGUUUAUUUUUAUUUGGUCAUUAUUUUUAAAGUAGAUUUUUACAUUAUUUGUCAUUUUUAACAUAUCAGGAAAAAAUAUUUUUUUCUAAUAUACUUAAAUCAAUCGUUGAUCCAAAGUAAGCAAAUAGAAAUGAACGAAGGAUAUAUAAUUAAAAAUUACUUAUUAAUUACUCUUCAUUAGUGUCUGAACAACCAUAAUAAUACUCCAUAAAUAAGAAUAUAAGAUGUUUAUUUGAGACAGAGAAUAGUGAUUAGUGAAGAAUUCAACAUGAUUAAUUAAUUCUUAAAUAAGAAUAUAAGAUGUUUAUUUGAGACAGAGAAUAGUGAUUAGUGAAGAAUUCAACAUGAUUAAUUAAUUCUUAAAAUGUGCAAAGUAUUUUGUCUCAUUAAAUGGUCGACACAAAAGUAAAUGGAAAAUGAAUGGACAAAGUCAUUUGUAACCCUACUAGGGUCUUAUGUCAAACUUUCAUGUGCAAUACAUGGUUUUUGAUUAUGACAUAAUUACUCUACCCUAUACAUGGCCAAAAUACAUCUUAUAGGCUUUUAAACACAUAAUAUUAGUUUUACCUUUUGAUUUUCAAGCUAAGGUUCGAAACUCGCAUUGAAACUUUGACUAAAUUUGAAUUGCACACUGCAUUAUAAUUCUCUCCUUAUCUGGGACUCGAAUCUUAAACUUCUGAUUAAUGGUGAGAUAGUUUUACCAUUGCAUUACAACCUAUGUUAAUCAUAUUAUGUUAUGUUAUAUAUUCUUUAUAACUGUGAAAAGAUACUCGAAUAAACGAAAUUAUUAUAUAGAAGUUUGUCCGUAUUUAUUUCAUAUUUUCAUUUUUUUUCCUCUCCAAUGUAGACAAGACCAAUAAAAAAAAUUGUGAAUAGUUAAAAAGGAAAAAAAAAUAAUGUAUGGCAAUUACCACAUGGGUGGCAAAAUAGAUGAACUGUUGACACCCUUGCUUGAAAAAGGUCCUUUUCAUCUUUAUUUCCUUUAAUUUAUUAUUUUAUUAUUUAAAUGAACACAACAAUAUUUUUUUAUAUAUAUACAAGAAGGACCACAAAGCAAAACAAACUAUCAAUAUUUCUAUUUUAAUAUAUUUUCCUUUCUACUUUCUUUACUUGCUACAACAAUACUUCACAAGAAAGACAAUAAGCUAUAACCACUUUAGCUAAAGAAGAAAAAAGUUAUGAAAAAUCAAGAAGAAAUAAUCAACCUCAAAAAUCGUCAUGAUUUCAUUUCUAAUGGCUUGAGUUUUCCUUCAAAUAUCGCGACAUCACCAUCAUCAUCAUCUUCUUCUUCUUCUUUUUCCUCGAAUAAUGCAUUAGUUUCAAAAAAGUGUCAGAGCUCGAAGAAAAUUGAAGAAGAGAAAAAGAAAAAGAAGAUAAAUAAUGAUGACGAAGAUAAGCACCCAACCUAUAGAGGGGUACGUAAGAGGAGUUGGGGCAAAUGGGUGUCCGAAAUUCGCGAACCAAAAAAGAAAUCAAGAAUAUGGCUAGGUACUUAUCCAACGGCUCAAAUGGCAGCUCGAGCUCAUGACGUGGCAGCUUUAGCCAUCAAAGGAUGUUCGGCUCACCUUAAUUUUCCUCAUUUGGUUGAUCAAUACCCACAUCCGGCUUCCACUUGUCACAAGGAUAUCCAAGCAGCAGCCGCAAAGGCUGCUGCCAUCCCAUUUCCCGAGGAAGACGAGGAAGAGGAAGAUCAAAUUGAGUCGGAUCAAGUUGAAUUACGAAAUUGCCAUCCAUCAACAAAUUUAUUCUUGGAAAAUGCCAAAGAAUCACUAAAUUCUCCAUCAAGAGAGGAUGAUGACACAUUUUUUGACUUGCCUGAUCUUUCUAUUGAUGUGGUGGAUCAAACUAAUAGUUAUUGGUGCACAAUGUCCACGUGGCAGCAGCUAAUUGGAGCUGACACUAUGGUAUACCGGCUUGAUGAGCCAUUCCUAUGGGAAUAGUCAUAAUGUAUCGGAUGUUUAUAUCAAUCAGAAAUUCGAUUCUAAUUAUUAUAAAUAUUUGUAAUAAUGUGUAAUAAUAUGUGUGUACGUAGGAGACGUACAUCUUGGAUUCAUUGAAUUGAUGUAAUUAGUGUGAAGUAAGUAUUUUAUUUUUUUAUUUUUUUUUACCUAAUGUCUGAUAGCAGGGAACUUCUUUUAUAGUUAUAGUGAAAAUAAAAAAUAUUACUAUAAGGUCUGUAUAGAUUUUUUUAAAAAGGUUGAUGAAAACUGUCCCCCGCCCUCCUCCCUUUUUUUUCUCCUCCGUUCAUCUUUAAUAUAAGUUGCAAUAAAAAUUAAUGUGAGUUGUGAUGUACUGGAAGGAGUGUUUUAUCUUUAAUCAGAGGUCUCAGGCUCGAGUUCUGGAUAUCGAGAAAUUUUCUGUUAAGAGCGCUAUCCUCAAAUGGAUCCUGCAAAGCGCGAUUUGAAUUUAAUCGAGGCCACCCUCGAAUGGGCCACACAACAAGAUUUUUUACUUUUAAUUACAACUCAAUGCGUUUGAUUGAUUUAGUUUACAAAAUAGUCUGCAAUUAUAUACUCCACUCUCAAUUCUCUCCCAUCUCUCUCAAUUUUAUACAAACACAAAUAUAUAAAUUAUUAUUGUGUUUAUGUAAAAUGAAAAAGAUUGUCUAUAUAUAUAUAUAUAUAUAUAUAUAUAUAUAUAUAUAUAUAUAUAUAUGUCAUUAACACAAAUAUCUGAUUUAUAAAAAUUAUAACUAUAGAGCGCUAAUAUAAUUUUUCUAUUUAAUUUGUUAUUUCUAAAAUUUACUCAUAUUUUUUGCUAUGGAGGAGAGGCAACAAAUUUAGAUUGAUUCUUUUUCAAAGAAAAAUAUCUUUUUCAAUAUUUUAAUUUGUAUUUAUACUAAUUAGGCAUUAUUAAUUUCAGAAGGAAAAUCAACUUUGAGUGAUAUAUCUUCUCCUUCUCCAGUCUCCACCAUAGUUUGUUUUUCAUUUUCCCCCUAAUUCUUUCUUUUAAAAAAAAGUUUAUUGUCUUUAUUAAAACUUACACAAAUCUCACUAGUUUAGAAGUCAAUCAUUUAGUUAUAUUUUAAUUUGCAGUAUUACGUAUCUUAUCAAAUUUUAGUGCCUCCAAAUACAAGUAUCUUAAAAUACAUGAGGUUAAAAUUAUGUGUAAUUUGUUCUAAAUACAUUGUAUUCAAGUGAAUUUACAUUAUGAGAUACAUAACAAAUCUCAUUCAUUAUAUAAUUUAAAAAAAUAAAAAAAAAUUACAUAAAUACAGCUAGAUACACAUAUAAACUAAAGUCAUUUUUGGUAAAUAGCAUACUUAUAGCUAUUGAAUUUCAAUAACCCUAUAAAUAUAGUUAUUUACGUAAGUUGCUCUAAUAUAUUUACUUUAUAUGUUCAAUUUUAUUUAUUCAACUUUAUAUAUCUUUCUCAGAAAUAAUAAUUAAUUAUAUUAAGUAAUGUUUAGUUUUAGAUUUUAAAAAUUAAUUCAAGGAAUAGAUAAUACUAUUACCUAAUUUCUGCAACGGCCAAUUGGAAUAAAGAAUUUAUUUCCAAUAGAUCAUUGGCUCAAAAAAAUAUAAUUAAAAGAGGAUGCAAAGAAAAUAAGAAGAAAUAUUAUAAUUAGAUAUACUUCACUAUCAUAUAUACUAUUAUGUAUAUUUUAAAAAUAUUAUGUAACUUAUCACUAAUUAAGAGUUUUUCUAUCAUAUGUUUAGGAAGAUACAUUUAAUUAGAUAUAGAGUAUAUAUUUUUGCCAUAUGAUUACAUUAAAAUAUUGAAAGAGAUGAACGAGAUUUGUUAUGUAUCUCAUAUUCAUGCGAAUUGUGUGAUUCACAUGUAUAUGUGAUAUAAGAUACACAGGAGAAUAAGGAGCGAGAUGGGAGAGAGGUGAGGGAGGCGAACGAGAUUUGUUAUGUUCCUAAAUACAUGCAAAUUCACUUGAAUAUAAUGUAUUUAGAAUAAAUUACUUAUAAUUUUAACCUCAUCGAUUUCAAGAUACAUGUAUCUGGAGGCACCAAAUUUGAUAAGAUACAUAUAAUACUGCAAAUUAAAAUAUAUUUAAAUGAUUAACUUCUAAAUUAGUAAAAUUUAUGUAAAAUUUUCAAAAAUAAAGAUAACAAUUAAGUUUUUUAAAAAGAAAGAAUUAGGGAGAAAAUGAAAAACAAACUAUGGUGGAGACCGGAGAAGGAGAAGGAUAUAUCAUUCGAUAAGUCAAUUUCCUUCUGAAAUUGAUAAUGCCUAUUUAGUACUAAUACAAAUUAAAUUAUUGAUAAAGAUAUUUUUCUUUGAAAAUGAAUCAAUUUAAAUUUGUAGCCUCUCCUCCACAGUAAAAAGAAUGAGUAAAUUUUAGUUGAGGGGAGUGUGAAGUGUCGAAGAAGGUUGAUGGAACAUGUAAAAGGAUUAUGUUCAAUGAAAUUGACUGACAAGAGUUAGAGGUAUAUCGGAACUAGAUUAUUGAAUUUUAAUUUAUGUAUAAAUUUAUAAUUUGUAUUACUAAAAUUGAUACAGUCAAUUGGAUAAGGUGUAAAUAAUAUAUUUGUAUUGUUUAAAAUUUCUAAUAUAGCUAGUAUAUAACUCUUCUCAUAUAUAAGGAGUAUGUAACUUAAUUGUUCAAUUAUCAAUACAAUCCUUGAUUUCUGCAUAUUUACGUGAGAAUACUACAUAGUUAUCGUGGUCUAGUUUAGAAAAUGAUUUAUUAAUUAAUUUUUUAUUUUACCCCUAUAGUUGAUUUGCAAUAUUAUUUUAAAAAAUACUUAAUAUAGUUGAUUUGCAAUAUUAUUUUAAAAAAUACUUAAUUCAAAAGGUAAUGUAAUGAGACCAUCAUUCAUUCUUUUUGCUUCUUUUAAGAGUAUAUACGUUCAAAAAUGGAUAAGUAAAAAUAGAUGAAGGGAUAUAAUAUUGUGUUUAUAUGAGAUAUAUUAUUUUCUUCGUUCAUUUUUGUUUGGGAAACUUUCACAUAUAGCCACUUAAAAUAGCCUAAUUACUCUUCAUAGCUAUAGUUUGAUAAUUACAAUUCGUAGCUACAUGUUAUGUGGAGGAGAGAGGAGAGCGAGACUGGGAGAGAGAGGAGAGAGGCGAGAGAGAGGGGAAAAGAGUGGGAGAAAGGUAAAUUGUUUAUGUAUAUUGGUUAGAUAAUUGUAUAUUAUACAUAUGUAUUUGUAUAUAUGACAAGAAGAUUGGGAGAGGAAGGAGAGAGGCGAGCGAGACGAGGAGAGGGAUGAAAGAGGCGAGCGAGAUCGGAGAGAGGGGCAGAGAGUGGAGAGAGGUGAAUUGUAUAUCUAUAUAAUCGUAUAUUACGUAUGCAUUUGUAUAUAUGGCAAGCAAGAUUGAGAGAAGGAGGAGAGAUGCGAGCGAUAUUGAGAGAAGGAGGAGAGAGGCGAGCGAGAGAGGGCAGAGAGUGUGAGAUAGGUGAAUUGUAUAUGUAUAUAGAUUAAAUAAUUGUAUAUUAUACAUAUGUAUUUGUAUAUCCUGGCAAAUUAUACAUAUACAAACGGGACGAAUCAUACAAACUCAAAGUCAGCCCACAUAAUUAAUGUAUAAUGUUAAUCGCGGGUGGUAAUUAUAGCAAACUAUAGCUAUAAUGAGUAAUUAAAUAGUAUAAGUUUACUUAAUCGUGUAAUUUUCCCAAUAUAUUUUACUACAAACACAAUAUGAUAUUUCUUCAUCUAUUUUUAAUUGUCCAUUAUUGGACAUAGAUACUUUUCUAAGAAGCAAAAAGAAUUCAAUGAUAUUCUCAUUACAUUACCUUCUGAAUUAUGUAUUUUUUAAAAAAAUAUUGAACAUCAGCUUCUGAAUUAUGUAUUUUUUAAAAAAAUAUUGAACAUCAGCUACAGUGAAUAAUAAGGAUAAAUAAAAAACAAAAUAACAAAUCAUUUUCUGAACUAGACCUAACAAUUAAAGGUAUAAAUCAAAAACUAAAUAGUAAAUCAUUUUCUAAACUAGACCUUGACAAGUAAAGGAAGACAUUGAGUAUACUCUUUUCAUUUUACUUUUUUAUCCUAUUUUUAAGAAUAUGUUUUAAUCUUUUUUCUUUUUUGACAACUUUAAUUAUAAUUUUUCAUAUUAUAUUUUUAAAAUCACAAAAUUUAAAAUCCUAAAAUUAAAAAAUAUUUUAUUAAAACUAACAUAAUUUAAUUAAACAUAAAGAAGUUUAAAAAUCAAAUUUUUUAAAAUUUCACAUUAAAUUAUAUCAAAACAAACAAAUUAAAAAUCGAAGAAAUAAAGAAUAUUGAGUUUAUAUAAUUCCUAUUAAGUUUCGGGGUUUACCCUUAGCGGUUGCCUGCGGUGCCUAACAAAUAACAAUAAACAUAAUAUAAUAUAUAGUAGUAAAAAUAAAAAAUAUGUAUAAUUAUAAUUAAUUGAAAUGUCAAAGAUCAUUUGUCACUCACUACCAAAAAGUGCCAAACAUUAUUUUCCAUUCAUUUGAUAAAAUAUUAUUUCAAUUUUCAAUUAUUGAAUAGUAUUGAGGUAAUGAGGUCAAUGGUAUAACUAAAAGAGUCGGUAUAUUUAAAGUGAUUAACUUAUUAACGUAACAAGUAUUUAAAAAUAAAUAUAAGCUAAUUAAAUAAAUAUAAAAUUAAAAUCGAAAAGAUCAAAUAUGAACAUGUUAUGUUAUGUUAAAGUGCUUAAUUAGAAUAAAUUAUUGUUAGAAGUAUAAUAAUGAAGUUUACUCGCAAAUUUAAAAGAUCUAACAAAAAAAGUAAAACAGUUAUCAACAAAAUUGCAAUGAUUGAUGUUUUUCCCGAAUAAAUUUGUAUUUGAGGAAAGAAAAUAGGUUUAUAAAGUUUCAAGGAAAAUAUCGUUUUGUUGCUCGAUUUUUUUUUUUUGAAAAAUAAUUUUUUUAAAAAAAUAGAAAAUAACUUUUUUUUGAAAAUAGAGAAAACAAGUUAUAUUAAGUAAUAUGCUAUACUGAUGGUAUCAUGCAUAUCCUCUAAGUUAUUAUUUUUUUACGUUCACCUCUCGUAGUGAUUAUUUCAAUUAUUAUACGAAUAUAUGUAAGUUAUUUUUUUUUUUUUACUUAUAUACCAAAUUAAAAGAGUACUGAAAAAUAUGUUUAAAAAGAAAAUAUUAAUAUGAUUUGUGUGCCAGUUAGAUAUCCUUAAUCGAAAAAGAAUAAUCGGAAUUGAUUGUUGUGUAUUACGUUACUACCUCCUACCUAUCCUACUAUUUUUGUUAAACAUUAUUAAGAUGAAGCUUUAAUUAAAAUGCACAAGUCUUUUCAAUACCAAAUACACUCUUAAAAAUAGAAAAAAACAUACACGUGAUUAAGUGUCAAAUCUUCUUGAAUUCUUCAACUAAUUAAGAACUUAACCAGCAAGACUAAACACCUCUUUGUAGCUAGAUUCUCUUGAAACUUACUUUAAAUAGGGACCUAUAUAUCCUUGAAAUUAACGAUUCUAAAAAAAACAUGUGAUAUAUCUAUCUAUCUAUCUAUCUAUCUAUAUAUAUAUAUAUAAAUACUGUGUUUGAAGUAAAGUUAUUUUUAAUCAAAUUGAUGGCGAGAACAAUUUUUUAUUCGAGGUUCAAGAAGAAAGAGCGAAAUUAUCGUUUAAUGACGCUUUUAUGGAAGUAUGAUUAUAGUGGCUAAUACUUUCUUGAGACUAUUGGACCUGAAAUCAUUAUUUGUAUGUGAUGGGGUUGGGAAUCGGAGUAGAGUCAAGUAGGAGCAAGAGGUUAAUUCAAAUUCUUUUUAAUUAAAAAUUAUAUUAUGUAUUUAAAGUUAAAAUUAUUUUCAUAUACAUGUAGUAAAUAUCGAUUUUCUUUUAGCUUUUUAUAUGUUUUAAUUUUUUAUAUAUUAAAUAUUCUUAUUGAUAAUUUUUUUUAAGUCAUUGGUUUUAUGGAAUCCAAUCAAGAUAUAAAAUACUUAUCAUCACAAAGAUUAGUGUUUGUUAAGAUAUGAUUGAUUGAUUUAGAAAAAUCAAAGUUAUGAACUAUUUAAUUGAUAUUAUUUAUUAAUUAGCUAUGCUUCAUUAAGUAAUAAAAAGGGAUACAUAUGACUAAAUAGUAUUAAUGAAGUUAUUUCUGUCAAAGAAUUUAACCAAAAUAAAUAUAUAGAUAGAUAUAUAUAAGAGACAGUUUUGUGUAUUAAUCAGCUAAUUAGGCAUAAAGCUUUUACAAAUUUGGGUUAGACACCAAACACCUAUUAAAGCAGUUGGGUAAAAUAACUAAUGAAGGAAGUUGAGAAAAAUAUUGAAACUCAAAUUUUUUUCUAUUUCCUCAAAUCAUUACAAACGAGAGUUAUAAUAAUAACAAAAAAAUUAUUUCCCGUUCUAUAUUUGAUACCUAUAUUAGAAUCUGACUAAGACGAAAAUAAUUAUAUCUGCUAGCCAAAAAUAGAAAUUGGUAAUGGAUGAGGAAAAAAUUAAAUUUGUAACCAAAAAAUUACCUUGUGAUAGUGAAUGUAGAAAAAUCAUAUAUACAAAUUCUUACAAUUGUUCAACUUAAUUAUCUUCCGUCAAACUUAUUGUUCCAUUAGUAUUUUACUUCAAAAAAUAUUAUUUAUAUAUAUAUAUAUAUAUAUAUAAAGUAGAAUUUAGAAAUAGUUUUAAAAGGGUGUGUUGGAUAUUUUUACUUAUUUCGUUGCGUUUAAUAUAUAAGUAAAUAUUAUUACUCUAAACGUAUUUGUAUAUAAACAUAAUAUAGAUACAUUUUAAGAGUAUACUAUAUAGUAUAAGUAUUCAAUUAUUUAAGUUUCUACUUUCACGAAUUUAAUUUUGACUUUCUACCUUAAAGUUAUCCUUUAUUUUAUAAUUGAAUAGAUAUACAUUAUAUUUAUAAUAGAUUCAAACUUUCAAAUUAAUAGAUGUUCGAUUUAAAAAGAAGGAAAAAUUAUUUAAUUACACAAUAUUACUUUAUCUAUUCCAUAUAUUUCCAUACUUUUUUAUGAAAAUUCAAAAAUCUCUUUUUUUCUCCCAAUAAUACUUAAGGUUAAUUUUUACUUUGGAAUUAGAAAAAGAUCUUUCCCAUUUCCCAAAUUUCGCCCUUAAUUUAUUCUCCUAACAUUUCAAUUAUCAAUUUCAAGUAAGUUUGAAUUUUAAAAGAAAUUUAUCUCCAUUUAAUCGAAUUUAGAGUCCAAAAUAGGUUUUCUCAUCUUCUCUAUUUUGAUUUUCACAUUCUUUUUUUUUCGUUAAUCUCUAUUGUUUUGGCUUACACUCCAAUUUUUCAAAAUCCAAAACAUCAAAGAAUUGAGUUCUAACAAGUCGCAUGACCUGAUAGUCAUGACAAAUCAAAGUUCUAACAAGUCGCAUGACCCGAUAGUCAUGACAAAUCAAAGUUCUAACAAGAGAAAAUCGAUAAAGAAAGUACAUGCAUCUACUUCAAAAGAUCUGAAAACCCCAAAGAAAAGGGGUAGAAAGGUGACCCCUCUCAUUAUUCGACCAACAUUACCCAUGGUAAACAAUCUUUGUCAUAUUCGUAUCUUUAUUAUUUUUAGUCUGAUGAUUCUUAUUUUUUCAUUUCAAUAUCCUCUAUUUCACUGUACAUAAGCAAUAAUGUAAUUUGUGUAUCUUUUAUGUUUUGUUUUUAUUUAGUAUCAAAUAACAUGGACAUUAAUGUAUCUAAAAUACUUGUUUAAGUAUCGUUUUGGUAUGUUUCUGUUUUUAUCACUUUAUAUAACGACUAAUGAAAUAUGUGUACCUUUAUGUUUGUUGUUUUUUGGUAUCAAAUAACAUGAAUAUUAAUGUAUCUUUUUUUUUUAGUCUGGUGAUUCUUCCUUUCUCAUUUAAGUAUCGUCUAUUUCAUUGUGUUAUGAUUGAAUCCACACACACACUUGAUGAAUGAAGAACACAAGAACUUGCAAGAGAAAGAGAUGAGAGAUAUAUAGAGAGAAAGAGAGAAACCAAUAUUUCGUGAUAACACCCCGUGAGUAAACUUCCACGGCGGUGGGUAUAUAUAUUAAUAAUUUAGAGUAUUUUAGGUUACAAAGAAUAAACAUCAAUAUAUGACAGUACAUCAAAUAUUAAUCAGGCUCCACAACAUAACACAUUGUACAUAAGCAAUAAUGUAAUUUGUGUAUCUUUUAUGUUUUGUUUUUGUUUAGUAUCAAAUAACAUGAACAUUAAUGUAUCUAAUAUUCUUAUUUCAGUAUCAUUUUGGACUGUAAGUGUUUUGUGUAUUUGUUUAUUUACUGUUAUUGUAUCAAAAGUGAAGAGAACUCAUAAAGUAUUACUAUAACAUGAACAUUAAUGUAUAUAAGAUAACUGUUUAAUUUUCAUUUUGGCAUGUAUGUUUGUUUUGGUACAGUACGUCAUAUUAAAUGAUAAUUGUCUAUGAUAUUUAUAAGAUUAAAAAGGGUUACGAGAAUUAUAUUUAGGUCACAUUAUAUUUGUCACUUUUGAUACAGUAUAAUUGAUUUUGUGUACCAACAUUCUUGUUAUUUAGUAUCAAUUAAAGCAAGCAUUAUUAUAUGUCAGUAAUAGUGAAUCUUCUUUCUGUUUGCACUAACUGCGGAAUGUAUGUAGCUGCUUUUGUUGAAUGUUUUAGCGACAAAGUGAAGGUCCCAUCGAUCCCUUUCCGAAGUGACUAUCUUCGCUCAAGAUAUGCAACACUGUUAUGGAAAUAUGGUACAGACAAGGCUAAGGCGAAAUACAGUAACGAGAAUGCUGAUCCGACCAAGGUUUAAGGGUGUCUUCGUUCCAUUGGCAGAUGAUGAACUGAUUAAUGUAGAAUAGUAGUUUAUUUACUGACUCUCAAUCAAGAUAAAUUUAUUAUUUUAAAGAUACCUUAAGUGUUUUGGUGUAUUCCUUCCCACGUAAACAUUAUAUUUCUAAGUAAUUUAUACUUCUAGAUUUGAAGAGUUUUUAUGUCCAUAAUUUUUAUGUCGCUUUUAAAUUCAUUUUCAACAUAUUUUAAUACGUUAUUAAUUUUUGUAUAUUAUAAGUACUAUACAUAUCACUUCAGUUUAUAUUACAGUGAAACUGAUAUAAAAUUUCUACAAAAUUAUUAAGUAUAUGAUACAACAUUGUUUUCACAAAUAACAAAUUUUAUUUUCACAAAACAUGGUACAAAUUAUAUCUUAUAAGACUGGUACAAAUCACAACAGAUAUAUUAAAUCAAUAUCAUGUAUAAGAUACUUAGGUGCUUCAAACAUCUGAAAUUGAUACGAUUUAGUAAACUCAUGCCAAAGUUACAAAUAUAUUAAGUAUCAAAUGCACCAUUUUGAUAUCAAAAUUACUUUAAAUUUUUAAGCUGCUUUUAAAUUUCAAGAAAAUUAUUAUGUGCUUGAAACACAAUUGCGUCCAUAAAUAUUAAAAUUAUAUAAUAUAUAUAUUAUUGAUAUAAAAUACAACAUCUGAUACUCUAUUAUUAGUAGAUACAUAAUUUAGAAGAAGAUAUUAUAUAUAUGAUAUAUCAUUGCUUCAAAUGAUACAUUUUUUACAUGUUAUCUCUUUUAACUUUGACAUAUAUCUAUUGAUACUACUAUUCUAUUCCAUACAAAAGUUACAAACAAUUAAGUAUUAGACACAAAACAUUGUAUAUCAAACUAACUUUAUCAAAAAUUAAGAAUCAAAAAAUGUAACCAGAAUCGAAAACAUAACAUUUUUCAUUUACUGCAUCAUAAAUUAAUAACCUAAAAGUACUUCAUAAAGUACCAAAUUUGAGAAUUAGUAGACAUAAAGCAUAAUAUUUCUUAAAAGCAAGCAUCAAGAAUCUUUCAUGAAGAAAGUACAUGUUUGUGUCCCAUUUUUCACCUUUAAUACACACAAUUGCACCUAUUGUUGCAUCAAAAUUUAUAUCUCUUCAUCACUUUUAUCCGAUGUAUCAAUGCAUAGUGGAUAUAUACCGAAUCCUACGUUAUGUUCUUCAUGUCAAUGCACAAUUUCACCCUCAUAUCAUUCCAAAUACACAAUGGAGACGAAUUACCUGAUCUCGAUCUUUUUUUUUCAAUUCAUUAAUACCCAAUACAACUGCAAUUACUGAAAUAAGAUUUACGAAUGAAAUAUUUUCUCCAAUCACUAGCACAUCAUUUCUGUAUCGCUCGUAUCUAACAUCAUUCUCCCAUGAUCCAUAAUGCCUUAACAAGAUCGAAAUAUUUAUUUCGAAUCUUCACGAAAUUUCGUUCCAUAAUUGUUUGCAUCAAACUUUUACUGUUUUUUCAAAGAAUAGGAAGAAUGUUUCACAAUUUGAAAUUUAAAAUUAUAAUUCAAUUAGAAGUUUAUGACUGAUUGGUUGAAGGAAAUACAUACGUGUGAUUUGUGAAAAUCAAUUAAUUUCUGUUUUAAAUUCCUUACUUGACGCUUGAAAUGAUAACAACAACUUAAUAAUUUAAGUAUCAGACCAUUAUUAGUUAAAGUAUUUGCGUGAUUUUUGAUAACUAAUGAAAGAGUAGGAAUAAGAAGUAAUUUCUUCCUUAUACUAUGUAAUUUGCCUAAUUUUUACUAAAAAAAUGGUCCACCCCAUUAAGAUAUGGGCCACAACCAGCCCAGUUUGGAGACUGGUGGAUUUUUUAAUGGGCCAGAAUCCAGACUGAUCUGCUCCAGCCCACUUACAAGCUUAAUGCCAAGUGUCCUUUUGUAUAAUGAGUAUAUUGAUUUUGUGUAUAAUAGUGCUUUGUUUAGUAUAUUUUUUUUCAAUUUAUAUAUAACUAUUACACUCUAUUGUAUAUUAAGGUAUGUCUUUCUCAUAUAAUUAUUUUUUAGGUAUUAGUAAUGCAAGAGAUUCAAUGUAUGCAUUAGCAUGAUUAAAAUUCAAUUUACCUCUCAAAAUCCUUUUUAUACCUUUUUCACUAUUAUUGUGGAGGACAAUAUUUUUAUAAAUUAAUUUUCUUACAUAAUGUAUGUAAUUUUUAAUACAUCAAAUAAACAAUACAAAAGAAAUUUCUAUGUAUAAUUAAUAGAAGUAUACUCUAUUCAACAUUAUUUUUAUACGCCUUAUCAAACUACCCAUAUUUUAUUUCUGAAAGGCUUUUGUAGACAUACUAAAUGAAAUUUAAUAUAUUCAUAAUGCUUAAUUUUACUUAUCAAUAUCGAAUUUGUUUGAGUUAUUAUCUCUUUUGUUUUUAUUUAUAUGCCAUGUUAUUAAAUUUUUCCCCUUGUUAAAAAAUCAGACUAGUUUAUCAUUAUACUGUUAGUCAAUACUGUUGAAAUCAAACUUUCAAUAAAUAAAUAUGAAUUAAUUUAUUCUAAUUAACUAAUUUAAUCUAUUAAAAUGAAUUAAUUACUUAAUUUUUCUAUAUUGAAAAAAUAUAUAUUUUCAAAAAUAUGUAUUGAUAUUAUAAAAAAACAUAUAAAUAAUUUAAAAAGAGUAAAAAUGAGAAAGUCUAUUUUAUACUGAUAAAACUUAUUUAUACCAAUCUUCCUUCGUAAGGAACCAAAAAGUUAAAAUCAUUUUCGGUCCAUUCUUUAACCUUUCCACUCCCUUGGGCAAAAAAAAGUAAGGUAAACACGCAGCAUUAAUGUCAGAAAUAAGAAAAUAAUAUGGAAAGGCAAAAUGCUGCUUCACCAUUUUCAUUUUCAAAUUUUAACACUAUCACUCCUCCUUCUUCUCCGAUGAAGUUCGGAUUUUCAUCUACUGAUUCCGGCUCUUCCUCGCCGGUUGCCGGUGAUACAGUUCCUGGACUAUCGGCUACAGUUCCUUCGUGGUUGCUCGGAACUAGUUUCGUUUCAACUGAUAACUCUACUUGUAAGUUGUACCGUGUCUUCCUAUAACUGUCUGUCACGCUUUUCAGUUUUUAUUCAGCGCCUUCGUCAAUCGGUAUCUGAAAAACCUUGCGAUUCUGCUACUACUAAGUACUAACUCAUAGUUUUGUUUAUGCAGUACCUUGGUUUUCGAAUGCGAGCUCAUCAACUGUGAUUUCGUCAUCUUUAGGACCGACUACUACCAACAAUUGUUUUGCGGAUUCACUAUCAUCAGUCACUUCGCCUUCUUCGGUUUCAGAAAUUACUACUACGGUAUCAGCCACUUCAACUUCUUCUCUCUCUGGAAAAGUAUCUGUGUCAACUUCUUCACCACCACAACCAACCGUCUCAGCACCGGGAUUUGGUAAUAUUUUUUUUUGAUGUUCAAUGCUUAAGCUAUGUGCUUCGUAUAGGAUCCUGUAUUCGUGUUAAUGAAUGUUUGCUCCAUGAUUGAUUUAUUACGAUUGACAUUAUCUGCUAGAGGUCUCACUCUAUGUUAAGAAGUGAAAUUAAAAUCAAUUCAGUUUAGCAAGUUUAUGUUCCUCUGGUAGUGGAUUCUAUUUAUGUUGCCUCCUUCUAGCGUUGCUGUAUAGUUUUCUAAUUGCUCAGUGUGGAUUUCACUUUACGGGAAUGUAUUUGGGGUUAAGUUGAGUACAAGUUCCUCUUCCAAUUAUUUCAGCAGUUUUGCUUUGUUUGCUGGAAUGCUUACGUUUUUCAUUUACCAUCGUGCGGGGAGUAAGAGGGAGCAAGUGAGCCAGCCCCUGUCCAAUGAUCUACAGUUCCUGUUUGAUGAGUAACAGAUUACCGAGGUAGAGAAAGGUACAAAAUGAAUAUAGGAAAGUAAUGUAAAACAAUGUGACUAAUUAUGUUGUUCAUCUCUCUCCCUGUAACAUCACUGUUGUUAAAAGAGGCUGUAGCCUUACCUGCCAUUUUUCGUCCUCUGAUUACUGCAGCUGUGGUGCAAUGCAUCAUUGCUAUGUUGAAAUGGAGCUGUUAGCAAACCUGCUACCGCUAUAAAGUAGUUUUUGUCGAAAUAGUUUGUUAGCUCAUAGGUCAGAAAGAUUGAGCUGUAAAAGGUUGCUUUGGGAUUGCCUCAUUGCCAGGGAAAACGGGAGAAAAAAUUGCAAUGAGAUCCCAGCAAUAUCAAGGGUUAUUCUUCAAUGCCUAAAUUAGACUUGGCAUUAGUAGGAAUGAAUUUGAGAGAGCAAUUGGAGGAGAUGGUAAGAAGAGUUCCUUUAAAGAGUGUGUCCUCAAGUUAUGAGCCCUUGCUUCUGUCUAUACUAUUUGCUAUUCAUAAAUUGUACCUGUUGCCCAAAGCUAAGUUUUGCCAUCUUACUGAUAGUUGGUAGCUUUUAUCAAUGAACAACUAUGUUACUAAAAGAAGUUAUUCAUGACCUAUCCAUCUUUGGGUAGGAUUUGUAUAUGAGAUAGCUCACUCUAUCCAUUAUACUAUCAAAUGUUCUCCUAACUUCAUAAGCUUGGAUUUGUUCAUGGUAGAAUGUUAAGCAAGUCAAUGUUGUGCUCAUUUGUUUUACGACGUGUGACGUGUGUUGGCCGAAAAAUAAGGGGGAUACAUUGCUUCCUUUUUGGUGAUACAUCCUCCUCCUCAUAUAAACAUUAGCACCUGCUUCUUGGUUUCUCAGGGAGAGUUUUUUGUCUUGUGCAUGCAACUUCCUGCUUCCUCCUUCUGUGUUUUCUGCUUACCUUCAUUCCAUUUGAUUUUACACUUGCCCUUUUCUCGUCUGCCUAUAUCUAUCAGCUAAAGGUACGGUUUAAGCUUCUUUGUUGAAUUCUACCCUUUUCUCGUCUGCCUAUAUCUAUCAGCUAAAGGUACGGGUUAAGCUUCUUUGUUGAAUUCUGCAGUUCUCUUCAUUUUAUUCAUUUCUUUGGCUGCUUUAUGUGUUUGUGAUUGUUCCAUCAUCUGUUUGCGCCUCUGUUUCCUGGCUUCUGACAAGUUUGCUUCUUCAUCUUUUCCUUUGAUUAACUUUGUGUAUUCUCAGAUGGUUGCAAGAUGACAUGAUUUUUUUCAUGUAGAAUAUUAUCUUCGAACUCCAUACCAGACUCAGAAUCUAAAAGCAUCUGCCCCAUGCAGUAGAUUUCCGACUUCUCCUCCUGUUUGGACUACUCUCGUUCAAUUUGGUUAAACCAUAGAUUAGGACAUGACAGCUCUUGACCUCUGAAGAAAUUAGAGGUAUAUUUUCCAUCUUGGGCAUGUAUACCCCAAAGCAAUGAUAGGGCUAACAGAGUUUGUGAAGAGUGAAGAUGAUAUAUAGUUUGCCUCAAUUACAUUAGCUCAGUCUCAGUUUUUUCUUUUCAUCUGCUAGACAUUGAGCUAGUUUUCUGUGGGAUCAUAGGCAGCAAAUAUGUGUUUCUUUUCAAGUUUAUUUUUGCCAAGUAGCUUUUGAAUUAUCUUGGUUGGUUAUUAGAUCUCAUGAAAAUAUUUCCAAAUGCCAUUUUAAUUCACAGCUUGAGAGGAAAUUUUUUGUUUUCCAUUACCUGUGGAGUUGCUACCUACCUCUAUGAACUGGCAGGAGUGAAUCUUGAGCCCUAGCUCACCACAACCCUUAGGAACAUGAUCAAGUUCUAGUUGAUGAGUUUCCAAGUGUAGAGCAGAUAACAUCAAUCAUGGUUUGCCUCUGAUAGAAUGCGUUUCUUUGCUGGUGUUUUAAGUCAACUAAGUGAAAUUAUUACUUUCCAACCUUUCAUGUUGCUGAACUUUUUUGUUUGUUUGCAGUAACUGUUCCUGCUAGUUGUUCACUCGAGCAGGAUGAGGUUGCUGCAAUUUUGGCAAGACAAUGUGAGAAGCUUCUGUCCCGCCAAGCUCAAGGCAGAGGGCAAAAUGAAAAGCAUGUUUCAGUCUCUCAGCCUUGUGCCUAUGGAGCAACAGUACUUGAAAUUACAAGCUCAAGCAAGCCUGUCGGUGAUGCUGCUUAUAUACCUGCUGCUACUGCUGAACAGAAAUAUGGGGAGUCCAAGCCGUGCAGUGUUCCCAUUACUGGUGUCCCUUCAACCUCCACUCCUUCAGUCCCGAUGGGCUCAAAGUCAGGCAGCUCAUUGCUUUCAAGCUCACAGCCUAUUGAGGAGGAGCAACCUUGCCUUCCACCUGUCGAUCUUCUGGACUCAACAAUUGAAAUGUGGGAGCGGGUUGUCGUGAAUAACAAGACGGAUCAAGAGGUCACUGAAGAGGGGCUUCGUCACUUCUACGAGGUCAGUUUCUCUCUCUUUUCUUUUCUUAAUGAAGUUAGCCUCUCCUUUCAACUUUGUUUCUUUUCUCUUCUGUUUCCUUUCUUGACCUCUUUUUCUCCCUUUUGUAGGGCAUCAACUAUUUUUGUCUCCUGUCAGAACGCCUUCUAUUAGUCACUGAUAAGUAUGAUGAGGAGGCAAAAGUGAGGGAUGACAAGGAAAAGAUGACCUCUUCUUUGAAAGAUAAGUUGGCUAAAGUCAGUCGGAAGCUCGAGGACUCUAAGAAGGAGAAGGAGAGACUUGAGCAUGAGUUGGCCGGGGCUGCAAACAAGAUAACUGCUCUAACUGGUGAGAAGGACUCUAUUUUGCUGGUCCAGACGAUCCUUCACCAAACUAUCUCCGAGCUGAGAAGGGAAUUGGAGGAGGCUGCUCCUGCUGCUAUCCAGAAAUACAAGGCUUCCUCCCUGUACAGACAGGAGCUCAUGGAGUACGCUGCUCCUUACAUGGGAAAUGGGGUGAAGCUGGCCAUAGAGAAGAUCAAAGCUAAAGACCCCACAUUUGAACCCGAGACCUACGGCCUUGACAUGUACAUUCUCCCUCCUGAAGCUGAUGACCAAGAAUUCUCAUCAUAGGGAAGUGACGAUGGGUGCUAAUCACAAGUAAGCUUGAGAUAUGGCUGAGGGAGUAAGUUUAUGAGAUUUUGGUCAUAAAUGUGUUGUUGAUGUAAGUGCUGAAGAACGAAAAGAUCCCCGGAGCGUCGCAUGGAGCUCUUUCUUUUUUACUAAUAUGCACAUGCGAAUGCAACUUUUCUGGCUACUUUAUCUCUGAACUAGUGUGUUUGGCUGCUCCAUGGAUGUUUCUGGUGUUAAUAGAGUAUGUACGAAUGUGGUUAAGUGCUAACAUCAAAACUCAGCAGUAUAUAUAAAUUAAGGUGUUGCGAAUUCGUCACUUAAAAGUUCAAUCUGUGCAGUGUGCCUUGAAGUUUUUGAGAGGCGAACCAGAAAAAAGAGUCUUAUUAAGCUGUGGUUUUCCCUAGGUAACCAAUUUUCGUGAUCGAGUUCGACUCUGCAGUUAAUUUUGGUGAUCAUUUUCAAUACAUCAUAAUUACAUUUUAAAAAAUCAGCUAAGAUAGUGUUAUAUUAUUUAGUAAGUUGUUCCCGAUUUGUUGUCUUUUAUUUUAAUUUUUUUAACACUAAAAGGUCAGAAGUGAGGAAUAAAAUGGGUGCAUGCAUUUCUUGUUAUUAUCUAAUUCCAAAGUUGUUAGCGAGCAGUGGAGAAGUCAUUUCUGUUAAAGCUAUAACUGCGACAUGAUCCCAUUCACGGUCUAAGAAACUAGAAUUUGGCACCUUCUUGUUCAUUAGAAAGUGUUGGAAUAGCACAAGAAAAAAUCGACUCAUAACUAGAAAACUUUUCUAUAGACUCCAUAGCAUUAGACAAACAAACAAGAAAAUAAAGCUACAAUGUCAGUUUUUCCUUAAACGAUGAAAGAUGUUGUCCAACAAAAAUUUCCCAACUCAGCAACGGUUCGGUCACUAGCCCUCCCUGCGGACAAAGUAGAGCUUACCCAUGACGUGAAGGAUCGCAACAAAGGCUAUGAAGCCAAUACUCAUCACAAGCACAACAUUGGGGGAUAUCUUGAGUCCGGGGGAAUCAUCAGUGUAGAAUUGAAGCAUGGUACCACCUGCUCCUCCUGCAGCUCCACCUGCUCCUCCUGUCUUCCUUCGACGUAGGUUAGCAGCUGCUGCUGCUGCAGUCCCUCUUUGUGGUCCACCUCCACCCAAUGCCAUUUCUAGUCACUGUUUCAAUGUAUUAAAUAGAAAAUCCUCAGUGGGAAGAAUCUCAGAGAUCUUUUGCAAGUCCUCAACACACAGUGAACAUUUUAAAGACAACAUAUGAUCAACUAAAGGGAACACUGUAACUAUUACAUCCAGCCAUUUCAACAAUAUAUAUCUUCCUAUAUUUAUGCAUCAUAACCUCUAAACCCUCAGAAAGGUACAUCAACUACCAGUGCAACCAACUCAACCAUCAAAGUCAAAUUAGGCUUACACAAUUGGAACAAACAAGGUAUUAUUUAAGAUAUUAGUCAAACAACAUUAAACAAAUUGUGAAAUAAUAGAAUUUUGAAUUAUUCACUUGAUAAAGAUCUUUAGGAAUGACAAACUAUAGAACAACAUACCAAUGUAAUUCCACAAGUGGAAGUUGGUACUACUAAAUAUUAACUAUUCAACAUUGUAAUGCAAACAUUGAGACGUACAAAGAAAAGGAAAGACAUGAUUGGGCCAAGGUAAAAGACGAUAUAUAAAUGCUCAGGAGAAUCAGACGGCUUGCAAAGAAACAAGGAGACUCUAUUCGCUCAUUUUAUUUUAUUUCCAUUUUUUAGCCCGCCCUAAAGUGGUCAUUUCUUUUUCAUGUCCUUCUAUGGUAAAACCACACCACUUCCACUCAUUUCACUUGUUGAAACCUCUUCACAAAAUUGUAUACCAAAAGAGAUGGUGAAUCCUGAAUAUGUCCACACUUGUUUCAAACCACCCUCACCAAGCCAUCAAAGCAAAUAACAAGUUUUCGCUAAUAUCAAACUAAACCAUACAAUUGCAACACGAGGGUGCCUGCCCCAUCUCCCUAUUUUCCCAAAACACUAAGCUUAUGAACCCCCAUCUAGUACAAGUUCAUUUGAAUAUAUUUUCAAGACAAGAUAAAGGUACAUACAACAAAAAUGAUGUAUAGUUUAUUCAUCAUUCUAGCCCCUGCUAACUUGCUAUACUGCACCUUCAGCCCAGAAUUGAUAACUACCUUUAUAAGACUGGUACAACUCAAAUACAGUGCAUCCAGUUUUAAGAGAAAUACUCAUUGAAAGGGGUGAACGACCCGCUACAUUCGAGCAAGUGCUUGAUCUCAGAAGCAAAUCUAAAGGUGGCCAAGAGUGUUAAGCCUUUUAUGUAUAUAUACAAAACUAAAGACUAAUUUAUAUUCUGUUCCAAGUUCAAAUCAUUGAUUUCUAAUUUAUCAAAACCCUCAAUAAAAUCCUAGAUCCGCCGCUACACUAACUAGCCGAUGAAUCCCCAAGACAAUCACAAAAUGUUUGACUUCAAAUUAAACUAACAUGUAGAAUCAUUGCGCAAUUCGCAAGUCAUCGCCAUAAAUUCACAUCGCGGUUUCAAAAAAUUCCGAAAACUUGCUAAAUCUGAACCCGGGAGAUCAAAUUGUAAAAGCCAUCAGAUCAUAAAACAUCAACACAAAUCAAAACUCAAGAGUUUAGAUCCUUCCGAUUUCAGAUCUCAACACAUGCGAAAUUCACUUUUUGUUAACAAAUCAAUUGCAUAAACUUGCUCCAAUGAAAAUUUAAAAAAUUCACAAGCAAAAAUCAGUACAAAUCUAAUUAAAUCUGCAGGUAUGAAGACAAAUUCAUACAAAAAAUGAAAAAAAAAAUUAAUCAAAUGAUGCUAGAAAAGGAGAAAAAUACCUUAAGAAUGCUGAGAAUUAGGGAAAAUGGAUUCUCCGAUCUGGAAGGAAAAUGGAUGAGAAGUAUUUUGACGCGUUUGUUUAAUGGAUAUUCUAUUAAGUUUUGGACUUUAAAGCUUUGAUUUAUUAUACGUGGAGGAGGCCACAUCACUGUGGCCAAUGAAUCCAUGACACGUAGUCUCGAACACUUUUGGUAAACUAAUGACAUUUUAUAAUAGUUACUUAUUUUUAAAAUAUAUAUUUUUUCAUUUAUACUUAUUAUUUUUGAUGAAAUAAAUAUUUUUCAAGAUUACAUUUGAUAGGAAUAAUUUGAUAAAAUAUUUAUAGCAAUAAUUAUCUUUGGAAAAAUUAUAUGAAUUAAUAUAUUUUUAAAAAUAAUUACUGAUUUUAGCGAUACAUUUUGUUUAUUAUCAUUUAUAGCAAUACUGUGAUAAAUCUGUAAUAUGUAUUAAAAGUGAAUUAUGCAUGCAAUAUAUUUGAAUUGUAAUUGUUUUUGAAAUAUCUUAUGUUUGUUUGGUAAAAAAUUGUCACAUUGUAUUAUAAGUGUAUUAAAAUGUGCGAUAAAUGCAUUAUCCAUCAUUAAAACUUGUAUUAUAUGUGAAUAAUAAAAUUAUUCUUUGUAAUAUGUAUUAAACUUGUAUUAUAAAUGAAUUAAAAGUGAUCAAGUGAAAAAGAAUAUUAUUGCUAUAAAUGGUAAAUAUUUUUUUAUUAUAGUAUAUUUAUGUAAGUUCCCCAUUAUCUUUUAAUGAGUGCGUCUAAUCAAAACGUGACAAGUAAAAAUGAAUUAUCGAAGUAUUAUAUAACAAACUCCUAAAAAAUCAAUAUUUAUUUGUAUUGUAAACAAAUUUUGAAUUAUAUUAUUUAAAAAGUAUUGCAUUACAGAUAAUCAUAACUCGUUUAUCUAUAUAGAAAAAUAAAAUAAAAUAAUACUCUAAAAGAUAAUAAGAGAUAUGUAGUAUUUAAAUUUAUAUAUUUACUUAAUAAUAACAAUAUGGUGUUUGAUCUGUAGUAAAUUCAUAAAAUUGUUAUUCUAUUUAUAAUGUUAAAUUGAACCUAUAUAAAAAAAUUUAAGUACAUAAAAUAAGAAAGAAAAUAUUAUAUAUGAUAUAAAAUGAUAUUGUAGAGAUGAAAAAUUAAAUAUCAAGGAUAAAAUUGAUAUUAUGGGUGGGGUAUCUGUCAUUCAAAGCUAAUAUGGAAUUUUGUUUUCCAACAAAGAGAAGUGAAAAAAUUUCUGCUUUCUUAAAAAAAUAAAAUAGAAAAAUAAUUUUCUUAUAUAUAAAAUAGAAAAAUAUAUAUAUACAUAAGUGUUUGAGUUUCUGGGCAGGGCUAUCAAAAAGUAAAUGAAGUUUCUGGGUGGGGCUAUUAAACGCUCCGAGGCGUAAAUAAAAAACGUAGAUCUAUAAGGCCCAAGUCUUAAGACAUAAGUCUUGAGUAUAAAAACGUAAGUCAUGAACGUAAAAACGUAUAGCGAGACAUUUUUAAUUUAUUUUUUACAACUUUUUUUGCUUGAUAUUUCUCGAAUAGCAAUCACAAUAUUUUUUUCUUUACUAUUGAUUAUCAAUACUUAUUCAAAUAAAAAACAUAAAUCUUUAAAAGGUUUAAUUUUGCUUAUUAGUAAUAAAACUAAAAAACUGAAUAUAUAAAAUUAGGCCUCGUAAAUCCAUGGAACUUACGCCACGUGUGUUGAGGCUUACGCCUCACGCCCCCGCCUUUUAAAGCAAGGUAUAUAGUGCAAGCGAGCAAAGCAAAAACAUCUCAGCUAAAGUUAUAAUUGCAUUCAUAUUCUAAGAAACUGGAAUCUGGUGGCCUCCUUUUCAUUAGAAGACAUUGGAACACAGAUGGCACAAGAAACAGUUUCAACUCAUAACUAUGAAAACUUUUCUAUAAACUUCAUUGCAUAGACAAACAAACAAGAAAACAAAUCUACAAUGUCAGUUUUCCUUUCACUAGAAAGCUGUUUGCCCAACAAAAGUUUCAAAAGUCAGCAAUGAGAUGGCUCUAGCCCUCUCUGCGGACAAAGUAAAGCUUACCCAUGACGUGAAGGAUUGCGACAAAACCUAUAAAGCCAAUACUCAUUACAAGCACAACAUUGGGGGAUAUCUUGAGUCCGGGGGAAUCAUCAGUGUAGAAUUGGAGCAUGGUACCACCUGCUCCUCCUGCAGCUCCACCUGCUCCUCCUGUCUUCCUUCGACGUAGGUUAGCAGCUGCUGCUGCUGCAGUCCCCCUUUGCGGUCCACCUCCACCCAAAGCCAUUUCUACUCACUGUUUCAAUAGAAAAUCUUUACUGCGAUGAAUCACAGAAAUCUGAUAUAUUGCAACUAGUCAAACCCGGUGAACAUAUUAAAGACAGUAACAAAAUGAAUUGAUCGACUAAAGGGAACAUAGGAACUAUUGCAUCCAGGCAUUCCAACAAUACAUAACAAUAUGAAGUUGAUAUAUAUAUAUAUAUAUAUCCCUUCUGAUAUUUAUGCAUCAUAACCUUUAAAUGCUAAAAGAGGUAAAUCAACUAUCGGUCAAAAGAGGUAAAUCAACCUCAUUGCACAAGUGAUAUGAGAGUUGAGACUGCUAGAACUACUAUACGUAUCUUUUAACUUGGAUUACACGAUUCACUGCAAUAGUGUCCAUUGCUGUGUAUAUAUAUAAUAAUAAGCCAAAUGGUUUGUCUAGAACAGGUAUUAGUGGUGGUUAUACUUAAGUUACAGCAGUCAGCAGGAGCUACUAAUACACGCAAGCUCGAGGCAGUAUGCCUAUAGUGUAGUAGCAAAUCCAAUAGGAGGAAUGUGAUCCAGGGAUCUAGAUAUGACAGGGAAACUUGAUCCUUCAUUUGUUUGGGCAAGUGAUCCAUGGAUCUAGGUGGGGGAUACUCCUAUUCUUGCUUCUGUAUUGCUAAUUUUAUACUUCCCGUUUGAUUGACGCAUUAAUAAUUUGGUGGAAUAGUCUAAGUGAGUGUAAGUUCGUCCAAGCCCCACCAUCACCAUACACAGUAUAAUCCCACUAGUAGGGUCUCGGGAGGGUAGGAUGUAGUCCCACAUAGCCAACUUUGUGACUUCACUUACUUCAAGCAUUACAAAGGAAUAACAUUCCAUUAUCUAGACGCCCUCGAAGGAGAGGUUCCAUGAACUUCUUCCUCCAAAGGUCAACAAUAAAUUGAGAGGUCACUUGAGAUAGUGUCGUCAUGGAGAGUCGAUGUGAAGGUAUAAACUUGGAAGGAAAUUGUCUUGAUGGAACUAAAAUUUCUUGGG